rnacentral:lncRNA from 1 species
CCCGAAUCGGGUUUCCUGUAUUAAUGGAAACAUCCCUAAAACCGAUGCUCUACGUUGAGGGAAAUAGAUAUUUCCUUUGAGGUGAAUGUCGGGUCGGGGAGGGGGGCGGGGGGCGGGGGGCGGGCGGUGCAUUUUUCGACCCAGGUGAAGGAGGCUCGAUUAUCCGUAAGACGAUUGCUGAUAUUUCUUAGCCGGGAGCCUGCCCUUUUAUAUAGCAUUGAAUGGCGGGAGUUUGGCUGAACCAGUUUAGGUAGGUGUUUUAACUGACACGAAGCUUUUCAUAGAACCGAUAAAGCAAAUCUGUGCAGACUGAACGGGAAUAUGUGUGGCUUCCUAGAGCUUUGCUGUUGUCUGGGAGUGUGUCGGGGUUUUUGUUUGUUGGAUUGACUUUUUUUUUUUUUUUUGCGAAGUUUGCUUUUCUAGACGUAAAUUGCGGUGGUCACCCUUUGUAAAUUUCCUGCGCGCCUCAGUGUAGUGCUUCCCACAGUCCAAACAGCAGUGUCAGCAUCAUCAGGGAGUUUCUUGGAAAUACAAAUGUGGGGGAAAUACAAAUUUCAGACUUACUGGAUCAGAAUCUCCCCCGGGGCGGGGGGAGGGCGGGCAGGAAUCUUUUAAUAAACCGUGAGUGAGUCUAAUGUUUGGUAGAGAACCACUGCUCUAAUGAGUUUGACCAAUCAGAAGAAAAUCUGGCCUUCAGUUUUGCUCCCUCCAGGGGGAUACAUAGAAAAAAAAAAUGCUGGAAAGUAGGAGGUGACAAAGUUUGGGAAAUCAUUUCUGUUUCCUUAUAGGACCGUCAGAAGUGCAACAAUGUAAGGGGAGAAAUUAUUAAACUCCGAUCAUAAACACCUGUUGUGUGAAUACUGCUUUAAAUAUCUGUGGCUUGUCUCCUAUUUUCUUUUUUUAAUUAGCUGUAACAGUAUCUUAGCUGCAGGUGUGCAACAUAAUGACUUGAUAACAGUAUGUUUGUUUCAGGUAUACAACAUCAUGAUUUGUGCAAUUGCCUGCUACUUUUUUUUUUUAGUUUAUUUAUUUAUUUUUAAGAGAGAGUGGGGCAGGGGCUGAGAGGGGCACAGAGGAUCCAAAGCAGGCUCUGCGCUGACAGCAGAGACCCGGAUGUGGGGCUCCAACUCACACACCCGGGGAUCAUGACCUGAGCCCAAGGCAAAUGCUUAACCAACCAACUGAGCCACCUGGGCGCCCCGCCUCCUACUUUCUAAAUCGCAUCUCUUCUCCUUUGUUUCUUUUGUUAUUGUUCUCAUUUCAUCUUUUAAUUUUUGAAAUUAAGAUUUUUUUGGUUUCGUUUCUGGGGAACAUAAACAUGCAGCUUGUUAACCUUAAAAAUAAACAGCUACUUUGCCAGCAAACACAAAAAAGGGGGGUUUGUUUGAGAAUAGCAGAGAAUUACACUGGGGGACAAGCAAGCAAUGGGAAAAUCACAGGCAAAUCCACAGAGCAAAAGAAAGGAUUGCCAGUGUAUAGAGGAAAAGGGGAACGGGGGACGGCUUUUAUAAAUUGGAAGUCCAUCGGAAUGCACUGGGAGUUGGAAGCAUGGUGGUUUUCAUUGGCUGAGCUGUUGCCUGGGCAGAGGAAAACCUUUCUCCUACUGGGGUAGUCAAGUAAUAGCAAAAGUAAAUGGACUUGCAAGGUAGGCUCUUCCUGUUGUGUCCGCAAUGGACUAGGAGUGCUAGGGUGUGAAAGCACCGGCUGCUGACCUCUCAGCUUCAUUUUAGUGAGAUUUCCUUGUGUUGAUACAGAUUUAAAAGGCAUCGACCUAGUACAAAGUUUCCAAAUUUGCAGCUGCCGUAGGCUCCUUGUGUGGUUUGUUUAGUCCAGUGUAUUUUUCUCCUUCACUUAAGUAAUUUCACAUUAAAAAAAAAAAUGACAGACUAUUGUGAAAGACUGGGAAAUCUGAUAUUGAAAUUAUAAACAAAUGUCAAAAAUAAUAUCCUGAAUAGUUUGAAUUUUUUCAUUGAAUAUGUACUGGAUAGUAAAACAGACAGUCAUAAGUGCCACGAAGAAAACAAAAGGGUGAAAGGAUCAAAAUUGAUGAGGGCUAUUCCUUUAGACAGCAUGGUCAGAGUCUCUCUGGGUGGGGAACAUUUGACCACAGCAGAGUUAGGGGGCCCCAUUUAGUUGAAAGGUUCUGAACUGAGAGUCAGAGUCUGAAUGGCUUUUUUUUUUUUUUUUUUAAGUUAUUUUGAGAGAGAGCGAGAGCGUGCAAGUGGGGUGGGGCAGAGAGAGAGGAGAGAUAGAGAAUCCGAAGCAGGCUCCACAUUGUCAGUGCAGAGCCUCGUGCAGGGCUUGAACUCAUGAACCGUGAGAUCAUGACUUGAUCCGAGAUCAGAGGUAGAAUGCUUAACCGACUCAGCCACCCAGGCUCCCCUAGGGUCUGAAUGUUUUUGGUGAACAGUUAGGGUCACCGGCUCUCAAACAUCUAUUUGUAUGCAUUUAGUUUAAAAAAAGAAAUUUUUUUUUUUUGAGAGAGACAGAGCGAGCAAGGGAGGAGCAGAGAGAGAAGGGGGAGAGAGAAUCCCAAGCAGGCUCCACAGUGUUAGCACGGAACCCUCACGAACCAUGAGAUCAUGACCUGAGCUGAAACCAAGAGUUGGAUGCUUAACCAACUGAGCCACCCAGGUACCCCUGUAUGAAUUUAGUUUUUAGAGGAAAAGGAGUAUUCAAGAAAAAGGUAGAUGCACAGUAUCCAAAAUCAGAUAUAGGAAGAGAAGAUGUUUAGGCCUCAGCUUGGUGCCAUGGAUUAGGUUUUAACUUUUAGUAUAGUACUUAAUAUUUUAGAGAUCAGAGCUCCCUCUGAAAAGUAGAUGAAAUCUAUGGUCUCUGUUCCCCUAAAAGUACACAUUGUGUAUAGUAGAAGCUCUUCCUAAACACUGUCCACUUAACGUUUUUAAUAUUUUUUCUGAAAUAUGCAGCUGAUCCCUGGGAAGUACUAAAGAAAGUACUACACAGCUAGUAGCCUUCACUUUGGUUCACUCCUGUGUAUCUGCGUCCCCCAGUUGAGAAGAAUGCUUAGCAAGAGUUGGUUAUGUUUGUUACCAAUCUAUUUCCAUCAUACUCAUAAUUAUGUAGCUAAAUUACACAAAUUGAUAAAAUUUGAGUCUGCAAAGAAAAAGAACUGUUUCUAAGAAAACCAAGAAGGUCGGGGUGCCUGGGUGGCUCAGUUGGUUAAGCGUCCGACUUCAGCUCAGGUCAUGAUGUCGCGGUUUGUGAGUUUGAGCCCCGUGUCGGGAGCCUGGAGCCUGCUUCGGAUUCUGUGUCUCCGGCUCUCUCUGCCCCUCCCCCACUUGUGCUCUGUCUCUGUCUAUCAAAAAGAAAUAAAAUGUAAAAAAGAAAACCAAGAAUGCUUUGGAAAGACGGGAUAAAGAUGAAUGCUAAUAAAAAAUAGCUAUUCAUGUUAUUUUCUACCUUUUGUGUUGUGUAAGGCUUUAGAUUGUAUUUUUUCAACGUGGGUCAUUUUAACUGCAAAGAUAGUUCCAUCAAAAGGCAAAGAUGUUCAAAAUUUAAUACUGUGCAAUUAAGAUGUAAAGACACUAAUUGUAUAAAUGUCUGUUUUUAUAUCUUGUCCACAACGAUCAUUUCUUCUCCCUCUCAUCAUUAACAAAUGUUUAAAUAAAUUGCUUAAAACUUAAAAAAAAAAAAACUAUUGAAUUGGGUGUAGGCAAAGUGGUUAUGAGCAACUAGAAAGACUUUUUUUUUCUAAGUUUUUUCACUCAUUUUGAGAGAGAGUGAAACCAUGGUAGGGGAGAGGCAGAGAGGGAAGGAGAGAGAGAGAAUUCCAAGUAGGCCCCAAUGCGUGGCUCAAACUCACAAACUGUGAGAUCAUGACCCGAGCCGAAACCAAGAGUCAGACACUCAACUGACUGAGCCACCAACAAGCCCCCUAGAAAGACUUUUUAAAGCCCCAGGUCUGGUAGGAUUCUGCAUUCGAUUUGAUUUGCAGGAGUCUUUGACUUGUCUCUACUUUGAACAAAAUGAAACAAAGUCAAAUGUAAAGCACUAGGCAUAUAGUUUGUGCAAGAACUCCAAUCAGACGGACCAUACUCAAGAGGAAGGCCUUGGAGAAUGACAAGGGAGUACAUAUCUAGGUAAAAAUAAUAUUCUUUUUUUCCCUAAGUUAGAAUUCCAAGGUUUCGUUUUUUUUCCUUUAAUUUUAUUUUUUAAAUUUACAUCCAAAUUAGUUAGCAUAUAGUGCAGCAAUGAUUUCAGGAGUAGAUUCCUUAGUGCCCCUUACCCAUUUAGCCCAUCUCCCCUCCCACAAUCCCUCCCAUAACCCUCAGUUUGUUCUCCAUAUUUAAGAGUCUCUUCUGUUUUGUCCCCCUCCCUGUUUUUAUAUUUUUGUUUCCCUUCCCUUAUGUUCAUCUGUUUUGUCUCUUAAAGUCCUCAUAUGAGUGAAGUCAUAUGAUUUUUGUCUUUCUCUGACUGAUACUUUCACUUAGCAUAAUACCCUCCAGUUCCAUCCACGUAGUUGCAAAUGGCAAGAUUUCCUUCUUUUUGAUUGCCGAGUAAUACUCCAUUGUGUGUGUGUGUGUGUGUGUGUGUGUGUGUGUGUGUGUAUACCACAUUUUCUUUAUCCAUUCAUCCAUCAAUGGACAUUUGGGUUCUUUCCAUACUUUGGCUUUUGUCGAUAGUGUUUCUAUAAACGUGGGGGUGCAUGUGUCCCUUCGAAACAGCACACCUGUGUCCCGUGGAUGAAUGCCUACUAGUGCAAUUGCUGGGUCGUAGUUCUAUUUUUAGUUUUUUGAGGAACCUCCAUACUGUGUUCCGGAGUGGCCGCACCAGCUUGCAUUCCCCAAAAAUAAUAUUCUUGAGGCAUAUAUAUUGAUAAGGAUACAGGUUAGGCUUCAUGUGACAGAUACCCAAAAUAAUAGUGAUUUACUCCAGAGAAAAGUUUUUCUUUUCUUUCACAUAAAAGUGUUAAUUAGCAUGGCUGUCUGCGGCCACAAACCUCCAAAUUAUAGUGACUCCGACACAAUAGAAAUUUAUUUAUCACUCACAGAUGGUUCAAAUGGAUGAUCCUGGUCACUGGGUAGCCCUCCUCUACAGAGUGAUUCAGGGAUCCAGGUUUUUCCAUCUUGUAGUUCUGCUAUUUUCAUAACUUUCUGUGUCUUAUCUAGAGGAAUGGGCAAGGCACUGGAACCUGCAUAGCCACAUUUUAAAAGCCUUGGUCUGAAAAUUCCACACAUCAUCUCUCACAUUCUGUUGGCUGUAACUCUGUUACCUGGCCACAUCUAACUGUUAGGGAGGCUGAGAAACAGCCUGGUGGAAAUCGGCUGGAAGUCUGUUUGUUCAGCUAAAAUCAGAGUUUCUGUAACUGUAACAGUUAACCAUUGCUUUGUAACAAAUCGCCCCAAAAUGUAACGGCUUAAAGCAAGAAACAUUUACUUCACAGUUUCUGUGGAGCAAGAAUCUGGAGGCAGCUUAGUCUAGGUGUUGGCCAAGGCUCUAUUUGGAGAGGAGUGCUUCUGGGCUCACUCUGUUGGCUGUCAGCAGCCUCAGAAGAUCCACUUCCAAGCUCACUCACAAGGCCAUUGGCAGCCAUCAAGUCCUUGUUGGCUAUUGCCGGAGGAAUUGAUUGCGUGUCCUGUGGGCUUCUUCAGAGGGCAGCUCAUAACAUGCAAGCUGGAACAGAGGAGGAAGGGGAGAAAGCAAGAGAAUGAGCAAGAUGAAAGCCAGAAUCUUUUUGUAACUUAAUCUCAGAAGUGAUAUUCUAUCACUUUUGCCAUAUUCUUUUGUUAGAAGCAAGUCAUAGGCCCAGUCCACAUUCAAGGGAGUGGAUUUCACAACACGAAUACCGGGAGGCAGGGACUCAUAGGUUGUAUUUAAAAAAAUUUUUUUUUUCAGCGUUUAUUUAUUUUUGGGACAGAGAGAGACAGAGCAUGAACGGGGGAGGGGCAGAGAGAGAGGGAGACACAGAAUCGGAAACAGGCUCCAGGCUCCGAGCCAUCAGCCCAGAGCCUGACGCGGGGCUCGAACUCACGGACCGCGAGAUCGUGACCUGGCUGAAGUCGGACGCUUAACCGACUGCGCCACCCAGGCGCCCCUCAUAGGUUGUAUUUUAGAUGCUGUCAUUAAUUACUCUGAGAGAAGGGAAAGCAGAUGACUGAGAAACAAGCGACCUAUUCCAGUGUAUUUAUUUUUCUUUUUUAUGAUUCCACACUUCAGUAAGCUUUUUCAAUUAACCAACCAAUUCCAAAUAUGUUGGAUAAUAAUAAAAACUAACACUUUAACAAGUGUCAAGCACCAAUUUUAGUCCUUUAUUUGUAUUAUCUUGUUAAAAUGCUGAAACCAACCCUUUGAGGUAAAUGCAUUUUUUUUUGAACAAUUUAUAGACCAAGAAAUUGAAAGCACAGAGAAUUAAAAAAAAUUUUUUUUUAACUUUCAUUUAUUUUUUAGAGAGAGAGAGAGAGAGACAGAGCAUGACCAGGGGAGGGGCAGAGAGAGAGAGACAGAAUCUGAAGCAGGCUCCAGGCUCUGAGCUAUCAGCACAGAGCCUGACCUGGGGCUCAAACCCAUGAACUGUGAGAUGACCUGAUCCAAGCCGACGGCUUAACCGGCUGAGCCACCCAGGUGCCCUGAAAGCACAGAGAAUUUAAAUAACUUGGCCAAGGGCACACAACCUCUCCACACUCCUCACUCUGUCUCUUCACUCAGGCAGUCCACUGGACCCCACCAUGGUUCUGUCCCUGUCCCACAGCCUAGAAACUCUCUUAGGUCAGAAAACUGGGUUGGUCACUGGGCUCAUUCAUUUGUUUCCUGUUUCUCAGGCAGUACUAUCCUCCAUUGCUUGACUUCCUCACAGAUGACCUCACUAAUGCUGACCAGGAAGUCCCAGGCUGAUUGGUUUAAAAUUCCACUCCUGGGGGAGGCCGAGACUGCAGUUCAGUUCGGUAUGAAGUGUUGGUGGGGCUUCAUAAAAGUGACACUCCACUUUGGGCCUGUUGUUUGUUUUUAGCACUCCCUUAGAUGGACUCCAUAGCAGAGAAGAACAUAGGAUCAUUCACAGGCACCCAUGACGCACACCCGUAAGUUUCCGGAAAUAACAAAGGAAGAGACAGUGGGUAAAGGAGCAGUCCUGUGACAUUUGAACUGUUAAUAUUGAGGUGUUGUCAUUCCUAACCGUGGGCUCGUGGUGCCUGAGGAAGUUUGAGUUAUAAAUAAAAAGUAUGUUCUGGAAUAGAAGAGUGCACAGAGAUGGUAUUGACUUUCUCUAAGGAACUCCAUGCAGCUUCACAGGUCGAGCUAAGACUUGAAGGAGAGAUGGGAGUUCACCAGUGUCAGGUGAGAGGUAGGACGAGAAGGGGGGAGGGAAUUGUUUGUGCUGUGGGUGACAGCAUAAAAGACCACAGCAUGUUCUGGAAUGUGAACAUGGCCCUAUAAAGCUCAAGUUGAGGGGUGCCUGGGUGGCUCAGUCAUUUGAGCCUCUGGCCCUUGAUUUUGGCUCAGGUCAUGAUUUCACGGUUCUUGGGAUUGAGCCCUCUGUGCUGUCAGCACAGAGCCUGCUUGGGAUUCCCUCUCUCCCGCUCUGUCUGUCUCUCUAAAUAAAUAAAUAAACAUUUAAAAAACACCCAAGUUGAGAAUUGUCUUAUAAACUGUGUUGUCUAAAUGGAGUGUCUCUCAAUCAGAUGGGGCCCCAGAUGUGGGGCAAUGAUCAGGUGGAAGCAGGUGGUGCAAGAGGUGAAAGGAUUCGCCUGGGUCAGAACAAAGGCAAUAAAAGUUUAUUGAAAAGUUUAUUGAAUAUGUCCUGGGGGGCAGGACAGCAGAGAGGCUAUCUGAAACAAGGUAGUGGGAGGAGGUUGUUUUUAAGGAAGGAAGGUGAGGAGGUAUGGCGAAGUAUGGAAUUCUCCCUUUUUGGUAACUAUGCUUGGUUGUAAGUAUCCCAUUGGUCCCUUAGGGCCUAUGGACGUUUUGAGGUGAGUCGCCUGAUGGGCCUGUCUGUACCCAGCCUGGUGGUUGCUGCGGGCCCUUUCUACAUUCUUUCCCUCAAGCCUGCUUGCCUAAAAGUGGCCUCUACAUAAAUGAGACGUAGAAGGAUGGACCGAUGAUUGGGUUCUAUUUGUUGGCAUCCUUUGAAGCUUGGGAUGAAUUUCUCCAUGAGAGAAUUUAAUUUGCAUCUGCUGGGUUUCCUGGGAGUCCACUAAUCCAAGAUCACUCUAAAAUUCUCACUUUGAGGUUUUUAAUACUACCAAGACAAUAAGAAUUUGGCCUGUAGGCUGGCUUUCAGUUCUAAAGUUUUGUUGUUUCUGUUAAGAUUUUAUUUUUAAGUAAUGUGUACAUCCAACAUGGGGCUCAAACCUACAACCUUGAGAUCAAGAGUCCCAUGCUCCACCAGCUGAACCAGCCAGGUGCCCCUCAGUUCUAAGUUCUUGUCUGUGAUUUCCUCCCUUUGCUCAGGACCAACAUUUGAAUUUAUUUAUUUGCUUCUGUAGUCCUCUGGAGCCAGGGGUGGAAAUUUUUUAGUGAAGAAGUUUAUCCAGAUACCUAGGUCACCAAAUAAUCAGAAACAGAAUGAAAACUGUCUUUUGAAAAGGCUAGCGUUUUAUUUACUGUCACCUUAUAUGCUGAGAAAACUAUUUCCAGAUUUCUUUGCUUUAUAAAAUUUGGGUAAAGGAAAGAACGUGGAAAUGGCUAAUCCAAUGACAGAGAGCUGGACUUUUGCAAAUAUUUUUAAUCUACUUACCACCAAUGGGCCUUGAAUGCCAGAGCAAAUUUAGUCUGGUCUCUAGGUUAGUGGCAAGAACAAUAAAUUUGAAGGCUUGCGUCCAAUGCCAGCAUUGUUACACAUAAAGUUUGUGACUUUGGGGAUUCAUUCCUCCCCUGUAAAACACAGGACACGAAUGCAUACUGUACCUAUUACAUUCUAGGGCUACCAUAACAAAAUGCCACAAUCUGGGUGGCUUAAAACAACAGAAAUUUAUUGUCUGACGGCUCUGGAGGCUGAAAGUCCAAAGUCAAGGUGCCAGCAGGGACAUGCUGUCUCUGAAAAAUUUACGAAAGAAUCCUUCCUUGCCUCUUCCUGAUUUGAGGUUCCUUCCUCAGUGCCUUGGCUUGCAGUGACCUCACCUCAACCUCUGCCUCUGUCAGUUACAUGGUGUUCUCCCUGUAUGUAUAUGCAAAUUUCUGUUCUUAGUAAGGACAUCAGUUAUUAAGGGUUCGCACUACUCCGGUAGGACAUCAUUUUCAUUAACUGAUUAUUUCUAUAACAAUUCUAUUUCCAAAUAAGAUCACCUCCGGAAACACUGGGAGCUAGGACUCCAACGUUCCUUUUUGUGGAAUUCAACCCAACUCAUAACAACUAUCUUCUAGGUCACUCCUUCCUCUGUUCCUCACAACACAUCAUAGGUAUUGUAUAUACCUUAGUUUAACACUUCUCGUUUUUUUUUUUAAGGCUGCUGACCUUUUUUAAAAAAAAAUACCGGUAUAAUUAACAUACAAUGUUAUGCUGGUUUCAUGUGUACAGUACAGUGAUUCAACAAUUCUAAAUGUAGGGGCACCUGGGUGACUCAUUUGGUUAAGUGUCCAACUUCUGCUCAGGUCAUGAUCUCCCGGUUUGUGGGUUCAGGCCCCACAUCUGUCAGCACUGAGCCCGACAGCACUGGAGCCUGCUUCAGAUUCUGUGUCUUCCUCUCUCUGCCCCUCCCCUGCUCACACUCUGUCUCUCUCAAAAAUAAACAUUUAAAAAUUUUUAAAGAAAACAGAAAACAAUUCUAAACAUUACUCCGUGCUCAUCAAUGUAAGUGUACUCCUAAUCCACUUUUCCUAUUUCACCCAUUCCCCCAUGCACCUUCCUUCUGGUAACCGUCUGUUUGUUCUCUAUAGUUAAGACACUGUUUUUUGGUUUGUCUCUUUUUUAAUUUGUUUGUUGUUUUGUUAAAUUUCACAUGAGUGAAAUUAUAUGGCAUUUGUCUCUCUCUGACUUACUCCACUUAGCAUUAUGCCCUCUACAUCCAUCCAUGUUGUUGCAAGUGACAAGAUUUCAUUCUUUGUUUUAUGGCUGAAUAAUAGUCGUGUGUGUGUGUGUGUGUGUGUGUGUGUUUGUGUGUGUGUGUGUGUGUCUGGGUGUCUGUGUGUACCGCAUCUUCUGUAUCCACUCCUCUAUCAGUGGAUACUUGGGCUGCUUCUAUAGUUUGCCUAUAGUAAAUAAUGCAGUAAACAUAGGUAUGCCUAUAUCUUUUUGAUUUGGUGUAUUCAUAUUCUUUGGGUAAAUACCCAGUAGUGGAAUUACUGGAUCGUAUGGUAAUUCUGUUUUUCAUUUUUAUGAGGAACCUCCUCCAUACGGUCUCCCAACAGUGGCUGCACCAUUUUGCAUUCCCACCAAUAAUACACGGGGGUUCCCUUUUUUCUACAUCCUUGCUAAUCCUUGUUGUUUCUUAUGUUUUUGAUUUUAACCAUUCUGACAGGUGUGAGGCGACACCUCGUUGUAUUUCUGAUUUGUAUUUCCCUGAUGAUGAGGGAUGUUGAGCAUCUUCUCAUGUGUCUGUUGGCCAUCUGGAUGUCUUCUUUGGAGAAGUGUCUGUUCAUAUCUUCUUGUUUUUUAACUAGAUCAUUUUUUAGUGUUGGGUUGUAUCAGUUCUUUGUAUAUCUUGAAUACUGACCAUUUAUCAGCUAGCUAUGUCAUUGGCAAAUAUCUUCUGCCAUUAGUAGGUUGUCUUUUUGGUUUUUUCAUUGUUUCCUUUGCUGCUCAGAAGCUUUUUGUUUUGAUGUAGCCCCAGUACUUUAUUUCUGCUUUUAUUUCCCUUGCCUCAAGAGAUAUAUCUAGAAAGAAGUUGCUGCGGCCACUGUCAGAGAAAUUACUCUCUGUGUUCUCUUCCAGGCUUUUUAUGGUUUCAGACCUUAUGUUUAGGUCUUUAAUCCAUCUUUAUUUUUUUUUUAAUUUUAUAACAUUUAUUUAUUAUUGAAAGAUAGAGACAGAGCGUGAGCAGGGGAGGGGCAGACACACACACACACACACACACACACACACACACACACACACAAUCUGAAGCAGGGUCCAGGCUCUGAGCUGUCAGCACAGAGCCCGACGCGGGGCUCGAACUCACAAACCGCGAGAUCAUGACCUGAGCCAAAGUCGGACGCUUAACCGACUGAGCCACCCAGGCGCCCCAUCUUGAGUUUAUUUUUGUGUUUGGUGUGAGAAAGUGGUCCGGUUUCAUUCUUUGCAUGUAGCUGUCCAGUUUUGCCAGCAAUGUUGAAGAGAUCAUGUUUUCCCCAUUGUGUAUUCUUGCCUCCUUUGUCAAAGAUUAAUUGACUAUAUAGUUAUGGGUUCUCUAUUCUUUUAAUUUAUAUGUCUGUUUUUGUGUCAGUACCAUACUGUUUUGGUUACUACAGUUUUGGAUUAUAUCUUGAAAUCUGGGAUUGUGAUAACUUCAGUUUUGUUCUUCUUUUUCAAGAUUGCUUUGGCUAUUUGGGGGUCUUUUGUGCUUCUGUACAAAUUUUAGGAUUAUUUAUUGUAAUUCUGUAAAAAAUGAUGUUAAAAGUAUUUUGAUAAGGAUUGCAUUAAGCCUAUAGAUUGCUUUGGGUAGUAUGGACAUUUUAACAAUAUUCUCCCAAUCCAUGACCAUGUAAUAUCUUACCAUUUAUUUGUGUCAUGUUCAAUUUCUUUGAUCAGUGUUUUAUAGUUUUCAUAGUACAGGUCUUUCACCUUCAUGUUUAAGUUUAAUUCUAGCUAUUUUAUUAUUUUUGGUGCAGUUGUGAAUGGGGUUGUUUCCUUCUUCUACGUCAUCAUUAAUGUAUAGAAAUGCAACAUAUUUCUGUAUAUUGAUUUGUAUCCUGCAAACAUACUGAAUUCAUUGAUCAGUGUUAGUAGUUUUUUUGGUGGAGUCUUCAGAAUUUUCUACAUACGGUAUCAUGUCAUCUGCAAAGAGUGAAAUGUUUACUUUUUCCUUACAAAUUUGGAUGACUUUUCUUUCUUUAUGUUGUUUAAUUGCUGUGACUUGGACUUCCAGUACUAUGUCGACUAGAAGUAGUAAGAAGUGGACAUCCUUGUCUUGUUCCUGACCUUGAGGGGAAAGCUCUCAGUUUUCCCCAAUUGAGUAUGAUGUUAGCUGUGAGUUUUUCAUAUAUGGCCUUUAUGAUGUUGAAGUAUGUUCCCUCUAAACCUACUUUGUUAAGUUUUUUUUUUUUUUAACCAGGAAUGGAUGCUGUACUUCUGAUGCAUUUCUGCAUCUACUGAAAUGAUCAUAUGGUUUUUAUCCUUUUUCUUGUUGAUGUGAUGUAUCAUGUUGAUUGAUAUGUAAAUAUUGAUCCAUCCUUGCAUCCCUGGAAUAAAUCCCACUUGAUUAUGGUGAGUGAUUUUUUUAAUGUGUUGUUGGAUUUGGUUUGUUAAUAUUUGGCUGUGGAUUUUGCAUCUAUGUUCAUCAGGGAUAUUGGCCUGUAGUUCUCUUUUUUUUUUUUGUAGUGUCUUUAUCUGGCUUUGGUAUCAGGGUAAUACUGGCCUCAUAAGAUGAAUUUGGAAGGUUUCCUUCCUUUUCUAUUUUUUGGAGUAAUUAGAGGAGAAUAGGUAUUAACUCUUCUUUAAAUGUUUGAUAGAAUUCACCUAUGAAGCCAUCUGGUCCUGGACUUUGUUAGGAGUUUUUUGAUUACUGAAUCAAUUUCAUUGCUAGUAAUUGAUCUGUUCAAAUUUUCUCUUUCUUACUGAUUCAGUUUGGGAGGUUAUGUGUGUUGGGAAAUCCAUUUCUUUUAGGUUGUUCAAUUUGUUGGCAUUUGAUUGUUCAUAAUACAGUACUCUCUUAUGUUUCUUUGUAUUUCUGUGAUGUUGUGAUUUUUCUUCUUUCAUUUCUGAUUUUGUUUAUGUAGGUCCUCUUUCUUUUUCUUUUUUUGAUGAGACUGACUGGAGGUUUAUCAAUUUUGUUGACCUUUUCAAAGAACCAUCUUAUGGCUUCAUUGAUUUAUUCUAUAUUUUUUUAGUUUAUAUUUUGUUUAUUUCUGCUCUAAUCUCAAUAUUUCCUUCUACUGGUUUGGGGCUUGUUUAUUCUUCUUUUUCUAACUCCUUUAGGUAUAAGUUUGGUUGUUUGAGGUUUGGUUUUGUUUUUUUGUUUUUGUUUUUUGUUUUUUUUGUUUUUUUUUUUGCUUCUUGAAGUAGGCCUGUAUUGCUAAAACUUCCCUCUUAGAAUAGCUUUUGCUGCAUACCAAAGAUUUGGGGCCAUUAUGUUUUCAUUUUCAUUUAUCUCCGUGUAUUAUUAUUGUUUUAAAUAUAAUUUGUUGUCCAGUUAGCUAACAUACAGUGUGUACAGUGUGCUCUUGGCUUCGGGAGUAGAUUCCCAUGAUUCAUCGCUUACAUACAGCACUCAGUGCUCAUCCCAACAAAUGCCCUCCUCAAUGCCCAUCACCCAUUUUCUCCUCUCCUCCUGCCCCCUCCAUCAACCCUCAGUUUGUUCUCUGUGUUUAAGAGUCUCUUGUGGUUUGCCUCCCUCUAUGUUUGAAACUAUUUUCCCCCUUCCCUUCCCCCAUGGUCUUCUGUUAAGUUUCUCAAAUUCCACUCAUGAGUGAAAACAUAUGACACCUUUCUUUCUCUGACUGACUUAUUUCACUUAGCAUAAUGCCCUCCAGUUGUUGGAAGUGACAAGAUUUCAUUCUUUCUCAUUGUCAAGUAGUAGUCCAUUAUAUGUAUAAACCACAUCUUCUUUAUUCAUUCAUCAGUUGAUGGACAUUUGGACUCUUUCCAUAAUUUGGCUAUUGUUGAAAGAGCUGCUAUAAACUUUGGGGUACAUGUGCCCCUAUGAAUCAGCACUCCUGUAUCCUUUGGAUAAAUUCGUAAUAGUGUUAUUGCUGGGUCAUAGGGUAAUUCUAUUUUUAAUUUUUUAAGGAGCCUCCACACUGUUUUCUAGAAUGGCUGCACCAGUUUGCAUUCCCUUCCAACAGUGCAAGAGGGUUCUGUUUUUCCACAUCCUCACCAAUGUCUGUUGUUUCCUUAGUUGUUAAUUUUAGCCACUCUGAUUGGUGUGAGGUGGUAUCUCAGUAUGGUUUUGAUGUGUGUUUCCCUGAUGAUGCAUGACAUUGAGUAUCUUUUCAGGUGUCUGUUGUCCAUCUGGAUGUCUUCUUUGGAGAAGUGUCUAUUCAUGUCUUCUGCCCAUUUCUUCACUGGAUUAUUUGUUUUUGGGGUAAGUUUGGUAAGUUCUUUAUAGAUUUUGGAUACUAACCCUUUACCUGGUAUGUCAUUUGCAAAUAUCUUCUCCCAUCCCAUUGGUUGCCUUUUAGUUUUGCUGAUUGUUUCCUUCGCUGUGCAGAAGCUUUUUAUCUUGUUGAGGUCUCAAUAGUUCAUUUUUGCUUUUGUUUCCUUGCCUUCGGAGACGUGUCAAGUAAGAAGUUGCUGUGGCCAAGGUCAGAGAGGUUUUUGCCUGCUUUCUCCUCUAGGAUUUUUGAUGGCUUCCUGUCUUAUGUUUGGGUCUUUCAUCCAUUUUGAGUUUAUUUUUUGUGUAUGGUGUAAGAAAGUGGUCCAGGUUCAUUCUUCUGCAUGUUGCUGUCCAGUUUUCCCAGCACCGUUUGCUGAAGAGACUGUUUUUAUUCCAUUGGAUAUUCUUUCCUGCUUUGUCAAAGAUUAGUUGGCCAUAUGUUUGUUGGUUCAUUUCUGGGUUCUCUAUUCUGUUCCAUUGAUCUGAGUGUCUGUUUUUGUGCCAAUACCAUACGGUCCUGAUGGUUACAGCUUUGUCAUACAUCUUGAAGUCUGGGAUUGUGAUGCCUCCUGCUUUGAUUUUCUUUUUCAGGAUUGCUUUGGCUAUUUGGGGUCUUUUCUGGUUCCAUGCAAAUUUUAGGAAUGUUUGUUCUAGUUCUGUGAAGAAUGCUGGUGUUAUUUGACAUGGAUUGCGUUGAAUAUGUAGAUUGCUUUGGGUAGUAUUGACAUUUUAACAAUAUUUGUUCUUCCAAUCCAUGAGCAUGGAAUAUUUUUCUAUUUUUUUGUGUGUCUUCUUCAAUUUCUUUCAUAAACUCUCUAUAGUUUUCAUUGUAUACAUUUUUCAUCUCUCUCGUGAGGUUUAUUCCUAGGUAUUUUAUGGAUUUUGGUGCAAUUGUAAAUGGAAUUGAUUCCUUGAUUUCUCUUUCUGUUGCUUUAUUAUUGGUGUAUUCUCUUUUCUUCACAUUCUUGCUGACACUUGUUAUUUCUUGUCUUUUUUAUACUAGCCAUCCUACCAGGUGUGAAGUGGUAUCUCAAUGUGGUUUUGAUUUCUGUUCCCCUGAUGAUAAGUGAUGUUGAGCAUCUUUUGAUGUGUCUUUUGGCCAUCUGGAUGUCUUCUUAGGGAAAGUGUCUAUUCACGUUUUCUGCCCAUUUCUUCACUGGAUUAUUUGUUUUUGGGGUGUUGAGUUUGGUAAGUUCUUUAUAGAUUUUGGAUACUAACUCUUUAUCUAGUAUAUCAUUUGCAAAUAUCUUCUCCCAUCUCGUCGGUUGUCUUUUAGUUUUGUUGAUGUUAUCCUUUACAGUGCAGAAGCUUUUUAUCUUGUUGAGGUCUCAAUAGUUCAUUUUUGCUUUUGUUUCCCUUGCGUUCAGAGAUGUGUCAAGUAAGAAGUUGCUGUGGCCCAAGUCAAAGAGGUUGUUGCUUGUUUUCUCCUCUAGAGUUUUGAUGGUUUCCUGUCUCACAUUUGGGUCUUUCAUCCAUUUUGAGUUUAUUUUUGUAUUCGAUGUAAGAAAGUGGUCCGGUUUCAUUCUUCUGCAUUUUGCUGUCCAGUUUUCCCAGCCCCAUUUGCUAAAGAGACUGUCUUUUUUCCAUUGGAUACUCUUUCCUGAUUUGUCAAAGAUUAGUUGGCCGUACAUUUGUGGGUCCAAUUCUGGGUUCUCUAUUCCUUUGAUCUGAGUGUCUGUUUUUGUGCCAAUACCACACUGUCUUGAUGGUUACACCUUUGUAGUGGAGACUAAAGUCUGGGAUUGUGGUGCCUCCCGCUUUGGUUCUCUUUUUCAACAUUACAUUGGCUAUUCGGAGUUUUUUGUGGUUCCAUACAAAUUUUAGGAUUGUUUGUUCUAGCUCUGAGAAGAAUGCCAGUGCAAUUUUGAUUGAGAUUGCAUUGAAUGUGUAGAUUGCUUUGGGUAGUAUUAACAUUUUAACAAUAUUUAUUCUUCCAGUCCAUGAGCAUGGAAUGUUUUAACAUUUCUUUGUGUCUUCUUCAAUUUCUUUCAUAAGUUUUCUAUAGAUUUCAGCAUACAGAUAUUUUACAUCUUUGGUUAGGUUUAUUCCUAUGUAUUUUAUGGUUCUUGGUGCGAUUGUAAAUGGGAUCGAUUUCUUGAUUUCUCUUUCUGUUGUUUCAUUAUUGGUGUAUAGAAAUGCAACCAAUUUCUGUGCAUUGAUUUUGUAUCCUGCAACUUUGCUGAAUUCAUGUAUCAGUUCUCGUAGCUUUUUGGUGGAGUCUUUAUGGUUUUCCAUAUAGAGUACCAUGUCAUCUGUGAGAAGUGAAGGUUUGACUUCUUUGCCAAUUUUGAUGCCUUUGAUUUCCUUUUGUUGUCUGAUUGCUGAGACUAGGACUUCCAAUAUUAUGUUAAACAACAGUGGUGAGAGUGGACAUCCCUGUUGUGUUCCUGAUCUCAGGGGGAAAGCUCUCAGUUUUUCCCCAUUGAGGAUGAUAUUAGCUGUGGGCUUUUCAUAUGUGGUUUUUAUGAUGGUAAGGUGUGUUCCUUCCAUCCCAACUUUCUUGAGGGUUUUUAUUAAGAAUGGGUGCUGUAGUUUGUCAAAUGCUUUUUCUGCAUCUAUGUCCCAGACUAGGAGUCUCUUGUCCAGCAAGAGAGCAGACCCAGAAUUGAAUGCAAGAGAGGUUAAUGUCUGGAAGGAGACAAGAGCCCCGAGCAGGGGUUUUGUCUCCAUAUUUAUUGAGCACUCAAGAUCUUAUACAUGUGUGAACACGAAGAAAACAAGAUCUUAUACACAGGUUGAACAUGAAGAAAGCAAUUAGAUAGUAAUCAUUAACUUAUGUGUGUAUGAAGCAAAGGGUCUGGGGGGCAAGUGGAGUUUGUGAUCAAAGUACAAUAGUAUAUUGGUGUUAGAUGGAAAGUAAUUUCCUGCAGGUGAUAUAACAAGUUACUAAUGAUCCCCUUACAAUAUCUCACUAGCUAAUAUUGGAUGCUUUCUCUCCAUGGUGGUGGCUUUCCGCCCUAAGCUUUUUUCUAACCCAUUUAUGUAAGCAGUACCUAUUUCCCCACACAUCUAUUGACAGGAUUAUAUUGUUCUUACCCUUUCUUCUAUUAAUGUGGUGUAUCACAUUGACUGAUUUGCAAAUGUUGAACCAGCCCUGCAGUCCAGGAAUGAAUCUCACUUGAUCAUGAUGAAUAAUUCUUUUAAUACACUGUUGAAUUCUAUUUGCAAGUAUCUUUUGAGAAUUUUUGUAUCCAUGUUCAUCAGGGAUAUUGGCCUGUAACUCUUUUUUAGUGAGGUCUCUGUAUGGUUUGGGAAUCAAGGUAAUGCUAGCUUCAUAGAAUGAGUCUGGAAGCUUUCCUUCUGUUUCUAUUUUUUGGAACAUCUUGAGAAGCAUAGGUAUUGACUGUGCUUAAAAUGUUUGGUAGAAUUCCCCUGGGAAGCCAUGUGGCCCAGGACUCUUGCUUGUUGGGAGAUUUUUGAUAACUGAUUCAGUUUCUUUGCUGGUUAUGGGUCUGUUCAAAUUUUCUAUUUCUUCUCAUUUGAGUUUUGGUAGUGUGUGGAUGUGUAGAAAUUUGUCCAUUUCUUCCAGAUUGUCCAGUUUGUUGACAUAUAAUUUUUCAUAGUAUUCUCUAAUAAUUGUAUUUCUGUGGUGUUGGUUGUGAUCUCUCCUCUUUCGUUUGUGAUUUUAUCGUUGGGUCCUCUCUCGUUUCUUUUUGAGAAGUCUGGCUAGGGGUUUAUCAAUUUUGUUUAUUUUUUCAAAAUACCUGCUGUUAGAUUCAUUGAUCUUUUCUACUUUUUUAAAAAUUCUGUAUUGUUUAUUUCUGAUCUAAUCUUUAUUAUUUUUCUUCUGCUGGACUUGAGGUUUCUUUGCUGUUCUGCGUCCAGUUCUUCCUUUAGGUGUGUGGCUAGGUUUUGUAUCUGGGAUUUUUCUUGUUUCUUGAUCUAGGCCUGGAUUGCAAUGGAUUUUCCUCUUAUGACUGCUUUGUUGCAUCCCAAAGGGUUUGGACUGGCAUGUUUUCAUUUGUUUCCAUAUAUUUUUAAUUUCUUUUUUCAUUGUCUGGUUAACUUAUUCUUUAGUAGGAUGUUCUUUAACCUCCAUGCAUUUGGAGGCUUUCCAAAUUUUUCCUUAUGGUUGAUUUCAAGUUUCAUAGCAUUGUGAUCUGAAAGUAUGCAUGUUAUGAUUUCAAUUCUUUUAUAUUUAUUGGGGGCUGUUUUGUGACUCAGUAUGUUAUCUAUCUCGGAGAAUGUUCCAUGUACACUCGAGAAGAAUGUGUGUUCUGCUUUUGGAUGAAAAGUUCUGAAUAUAUCUGUCAAGUCCAUCUGGUCCAGUGUAUAUCAUUCAAGGCCAUUGUUUCUUUAUUGAUUUUCUGUCUAGAUGAUCUGUCCAUUGUUGUUAGUGGAGUAUUAAAGUCCCCUGCAAGAUUGCUUAUGUUUGUGAUUUAUUGAUUUAUUUAUUUGGGUGCUUCAAGUUGGGGGCAUAUACAUUUACAAUUGUUAGCUCUUCUUGAUGGAUAGACCCCAUAAUUAUGAUAUAAUGCCCUUCUUCAUCUUGUUACAGCCUUUAGUUUAACAUCUUUUUUAAUGUUUAUUUUUGAGAGAGACAGAGCGUGAGUGGGGGAGGGACAGAGAGAGAGAGUCAGACAGACAGACAGAAUCUGAAGCAGGCCUCAGGCUCUGAGCUGUCAGCACAGAGCCUGAUGCGGGGCUUGAACCCAUGAGCUGUGAGAUCAUGACCUGAGCUGAAGUUGGAAGCUUAACCAACUGAGCCACUGAGGCGCCCCUACAGCCUUUAGUUUAAAAUCUAGCUUGUCUGAUAUAAGCAUGGCUACCCCAGCUUUCUUUUGACUUCCAGUAGCAUGAUAGAUGGUUCUCCAUGUUUUUUGAUUGGGGCACUUAGUCCAUUUACAUUCAGAGUUAUUAUUGAAAGAUAAGGAUUUAGUGUCAUUGUGUUAUCUGUAAGUUUCAUGCUUGUGGUGAUGUUGCUGGUCCUUUGUAGUCUUUGCAGCAUUCCACUCACAGAGUCCCCCUUAGGAUCUCUUGCAGGCCUGGUUUGGUGGUCAUGAACUCCUUCAGUUUUUGUUCGUCUGAGAAAGCCUUAAUGUCUCCUUCUAUUCUGAAUGACAGCCUUGCUGGAUUCUUGGCUGCAUAUUUUUCCUAUUUAGCACAUUGAAUACUUAUAUCAGACAAACGAGGUUUUAAACUAAAGGCCCUUCUGGCCUGCCAAGUUUCAGUGGACAGGUCUGCUACUGCCCUUAUGUGUCUCCCCUUGUAGGCUUAGGACCAUUUGUCCCUAGCUGCUUUCAGAAUUCUCUCUUUAUCUUUGUAUUUUGCCAGUUUCACUAUGAUAUGCUGUGUAGAAGGCCUAUUCUUGUUGAAUCUGAAGGGAUUUCUGUGUGCCUCUUGGAUUUGGAUGUCGGCUUCCUUCCCCAGAUUAGGGAAGUCCUCAGCUAUAAAUUGUUCAAGUAAACCUUCUGCCCCCUUCUGUCUCUCUUCUUCUGGAACGCCCAUGAUAUGGAUAUUAUUAUGUUUCAUUGAAUCACCUAGUUCUCUAAUUCUUCCCUCAUGUCUAGUAUUUUCUUUUUUCUCUUUUUCUCAGCUUCAUCAUUUUCCAUAAUUUUAUCUUCUAUUUCACUUAAUCUCCUGACUGCUCCUUGCUGUCACUAUAUCUGCUUUAUUUUGCACCCCAUUUACAGCAUUUCUUAAUUCGUCAUGGCUAUUAGUUCCUUGAUCUCUGCAGCAAUAGAUUCUCUGGUGUCUUCUAUGCUUUUUUCAAUCCCAGCCAUUAAUCUUAUGAUUAUUAUUCUAAAUUCUUGAUCAGAUACAUUGUUUAUAUCUGUUUUGAGCAGUUCUCUAGCUCUCAUUUCUUCCUGUAAUUUCUUUUGAGGAAAAUUCUUCCGUUUUGUCAUUUUGUCUACUUUUCUGUCCUUUAUGUGUUUUAAUAGCUUGUUAUGUGUCCUGCACCUGUGAGCACUACUAUAUUAAAAAGGGGUCAUACACUGUCCAGGGCCUCGCCCUUCAGGAGGUGUUUUUGGAGUGUGUUGCAUGCUGUCUGUUGUUGUGGCUCUGGUUGCUUUUAUCUCCCUGCUCGUAGUGGUAGUUUGGACCUUCUACCAGACGUGCUUUGAUUUGUUCAUUGAAGUAACCCUGAAAAAAAUUUAAAAAGGGGUGGUGGUGGAAGAAGCCUUAUCUCUCAUACAAAGAGAGAAAUGACAGGGGUGGAGAAAAAAGAAAAGAAAAAAAAAUUGAUCAGGCAGAGAAUCAGAGAAACUAUAUGGCUUAAUCCAGAGAGAGAGAGAGAGAGAGAGAGAGAGAGGAAAAUAAAGGAGAUAUAGAAGAGGUGUGAAAAGAAUAGAUUAAAAAUGUCUGCCUAAACAAAUCAACAACCAGAAUAGAGAAGGGAAGAAAUAAGAGGAGGAAAAGAAAGAAAUAUAUAUAUAUACACACACACAUAUAUAUAUAUAUAUAUAAGAAUUGACCAAGAAUAAAUAUAUAUAUAUAUGUAUAUAUAUAAUUGACCAAGAUACAAUUGACCAAUAUAUAAUUGAUCAAGAAUAUAUAUAUAUAUAUAAUAAGAAUUGACCAAGAAUCAGAUCCAAAAAUGCAAAGCCACUGGACCGAUAUCUGACAGUGCCUUGGGACUGGUGGCUGUGCAGGUCUGGAAGAGGGACUGUCUGGUUUGAUCAGUGUCAGUCUUGCUCCAGUAGAUCCGCAGUUACCAAGCACAGAGGGGUGGGGUUUGGGGUGAGCAGGUCCCCCCUCCGCUGUGGGCCUGAUGUCUUGUUCCCUGAAGCCCCACCUCGGUGAUGGGGAGACCAGUGGUGACACCCCAGUCUUUCCUCCCCGGACCGGGUGUCCCAGACCACUCUGUUCAGGCUGUCCUCACAGAGCUGCUCGGGCAUGCGUGAGCUGGUUUCUCCUGCUGCACAGUUUCCAGCGCCUCCCACGUGUUCGCCUGGGAUUCAAACCCCAGCGUCUUAAAGGAUCCCACUCCACACGCCCUGAUUCCGGAGUAGUGCCGCUCCACCCAGCUGACAAAGAGCCUCUGGCUGGCGGGUGCCUGCAAGGUCUUUUGUCCUUGGAACAGGUAUAUAUACCUUCUUCCCAAGCACUCAAGGGAGGGGACUGCUCUCUCCAACUGCGCCUCUGAGCUCACUUCCGAACCCUGGGAUGGCUCCUUUCCCCUCUAGGUUUGUGCGCAGGGCAGCUGGCCCCAGUCCGGAGGAAGACCCACAAUCCCGGAUCCUCACUCUUAAGGGUAUUUGCAAGUUAGAAAUUGGUUCUUUAUCCAUUUUUUUCCAUUCCCUGGUCCAGUCCGUGGUCUGGGGAGGUUUUCCUCUUGUCCAGAUACAACCCUACACUUCGACAGCCUCUCUUUCUCUUCCUUUCAUCUCUCCACAGAAGGGGAUCCUUCCCCUCCGUGCCUACACCACCUGUUUUAUCUCUCCAAGUUUGCAAGCACGCACCUGUGGCCCUCCAGGUUGUCCCCUUGGGCCCCUGGAGAUGUUUCUGUCACUCUGUAGCCUUGAUUCCUGGAAUUCCAAAACUUCUGGCCUUAAUACUGCUAUGUUUGAGGGACGAAGGAACUUUGGAGCCCCCUAUUUUUCUACCUUGUUGACUCCCCUCCAUGUAUUUUUUAAAGUUCCUCUUUGAUUUCUUGGUUGAACCAUUUGUUAUUUAGUAACAUGUUAUUUAACCUCCAUGAAUUUGUGUUUUCCAGAUUUUUUCUUAUGGUUGAUUUCUAGUUUCAUAGCCUUGUGGUCAGAGAAGAUGCAUAGUAUGAGUUCAGUUUUUUUGAAUUUGUUGAGAUUUGUUUUGUGAUCUGUUCUGGAGAAUAUUCCAUGGAUGCCUGGAAAACAAUGUGAAUUUUACUCUUUUAGGUUGGAAUAUUCUGAAUACUCAUUCAGAAUACAUUCAAAGUAAUUAUCGAUAGGUAUGUAUUUAUUGCCAUGUUGCUACUCAUUUUAUGGUUGUUUUUGUAGUUCUCUUUUCCUUUCUUGCUCUUUUGUCUCACAGUUAGUUGGCUUUCUUGAAAUACUUGGAUUCCUUUCUCUUUAUUUUUUUGCGUAUCUGUUAGCAGUUUUUGAUAAGUGCUUACCGUUAGGUUUAUAUUUAACACCUCUGCAUAUAGCGGUCUAUAUUAAGUUGAUGGUCACUUAAGUUUGAACCUAUUCUAAAAGCACUACAUUUUUACUCCUCCUCCCCCCUGCUGCCCACAUUUUAGGUAUGUGGUGUCAUACUUUACAUCCUUUUAUUUUGUUAAUCCCUUGACUGAUUUUUUAUAGAUAUACUUAAUUUUACUGCUUUUGUGUUUUCCUUACUUACCCUUACUUACAGUCUUUCCUUUCAGCUCCAAGAGUUCCCUUUAACAUAUCCUGAAGUCUGGUUUAGUGGUGAUGAAGUCCUUCAACCUUUUUGUCUGGGAAACUUUCUCUCUCCUUCCAUUCUGAAUGGUAGCCUUGCCAGAUAGAGUACUCUUGGUUGGAGUUUUUUUUUUUUUCUUUUCAUUCAUCACUUUGAAUGUAUCUUGCAACUCCCUUCCGGCUUGCAUAGUUUCUGAUGAAAAAUCAGCUGAUAGCCCUAAGGGGUUUCUCUUGUAUGUAACUGUUUUCUCUUUGCUGCUUAAAAAUUCUCUUUUUACUACUACUUUUUGCUGUGUAUAUUGGUGUAUAUCUCCUUGGUUUGAUUUUGUUGGGAGUUCUUUGUGCCUCUUGGGUCUUGAUUUCUGUUUCCUUUCCCAGGUUUGGGUAGUUUUCAGCUAUUUUUUGUUCAAAUAAAUUUUCUACCCCCCAUUUUCUCUCUCUCUCUCUCUCCCCUCUUUCUAGGAUUUGCAAUAUAUUGCAAAUGUUACUAUGCUUGAUUGUGUCACUGAGUUCCCUAAGUCUAUUUGUUGUUGUUGUUCUUGUUUCUCUCUCGCAUUCAACUUGAUUGCUUUCCAUUGCUGUGUCCUUGAGGUUGCUGACCCAUUUUCCUGCUUCUUCUAGUCUAUUAUUUAUUGCAUCUAGUAUAUAUUUUUUAAUGUUUAUCUAUUUUUGAGAGAGGGAGACAGAGACAGAAUGUGAGUGGGAAAGGGGCAGAGAGAGAGAGAGCAACACAGAAUCUGAAGCAGGCUCCAGGCUCUGAACUGUCAGCACAGAGCCUGACACGGGGCUCAAACUCACGGACUGCAAGAUCAUGACCUGAGCUGAAGUCAGACGCUUAACAGAUUCAGCCACCCAGGCACCUGUCCAUCUAGUGUAUUUUUAAUUUCAGUUAUUGAGUUCUUCAUCUGUGAUUGUUUUUUUUUUUUCUUUACUUUCUGUAUCUUUGUUGAGGGUCUCACUGAGGUCCUCCAUUCUUUUGUCAAGCACAAUGAGUAUCUUUAUGACCAUUACUUAAUUUUUUUUAAUGUUUAUUUAGAGAGAGAGAGGGAGAGUGUGAGCAGGGGGAGGGGCAGAGAGAGAGAAGAGAAUCCCAAGUAGGCUCUGUGCUAAUAGCAUGGGGCUUGAUUCCCAUGUGAGAUCAUGGGAAUUCCCACUGUGAGAUCAUGACCUGGGCUGAAAUCAAGAGUUGGACCUUAUCCGACUGAGCCACUCAGGCUCCCUUGACCAUUACUUUAAAUUCUCUAUUAGGCAUAUUGCUUAUCUCCAUUUGUUUAUCUCUUGCUGUGAUUUUGACCUGUUCUUUCAUUUGAGAUAUAUUCUUUUGUCUCCUCAUUUUGUCUAACUCUCUGUGUCUGUUUCUAUGGGUUAUGAAACUCACGAACGUCUUCUGCUCUUGAAAGUGGUGGUCUUAUGGGCGCCUGGGUGGCUCAGUUGGUUGAGCGUCCGACUUCGGCUCAGGUCAUGAUCUCACGGUCCGUGAGUUCGAGCCCCGCAUCGGGCUCUGUGCUGAAUCUCAGAGCCCGGAGCCUGCUUCGGAUUCUGUGUCUCCGUCUCUCUCUGCCCCUCCCCUGCUCAUGCUGUGUCUCUCUCUGUCUCAAAAAUAAAUAAAACAUUGAAAGUGGUGGUCUACGAAGAAGAGGUCCUUUAGUGCCCUGUAGUGCAGUACCCCCUUCCCCCAAAUCUGCCACUUCAGGGGCAUUUCCUAUGUGUGUUGCAUGGGCACUACUCUUGUGGCUGAGCUGCUUUUACCUAUAGUCUAGUCAGCUGCAGUGGCUCUCUUUGUUGUGGGGAGGGUCUGGUCCCUGUGUUGUUAGUGGGCCAGCGUGGGACCACCCUGGGCUUGAGUUGAGUCAGACCAGGCAUUUGCCAGAGCUAUGGUAGCACUGAACCACAGGACGCUUUCCCUAUGUUGUCUCCUGAGAAGCUUUUGUUGGCGGGAGGCGGGGAGGGCUGCAGUCGGACCAGAUAUUUGCCCCUAGCCCAUUGCUAGCACCACAGUCAGACUGACGUGUGUGGUUAUCUUGCCCUCUCUGGAGCAGGAGUCACUUUGGGAUGGUGCUGUUCGCUGGUGGGGCUGUUGGCAAAGCUGGCAGACUUGUUGCAGCACUUUGGGUGGACUCCUGCCAAGGAUGUGUUAGAGCUGGUGUGUCUGUAAAAGAAUGCUGGGGUGUGGUGUGCCAGUCUACUGUGGGAGGGAAACUGCAGCCACCUUGGGAAAUUCCUGCCCAGGCCAGGAUGGAGAGGUGUGGGUCUGCAGGAAAGCAUGGGCGCAGGUGCACUGUUAGCAAGUUGGGUGGAUAAUGUUCACUCUGAGCUGGUUCCCACAGGUAUCCAUGUAUCUAGGCUGGAGGGCACAGGAGGGAAAUGGUGCCCACCAGCUCUUUUGUUCUUGGAGAAGUCUCCCAAAGAUCCUGCCUCUCUUGCAUAUGCUCUGAGAUUAGCAAAUAAAUUUCCCUCCUAUGAACCCUAGGCAUUUUUCAAAUUACUCUUUCUAUGCUGUAUCUCAGUGGGGCUGUUUGUUGUGCUGUCUCUUUAGGGUCAGGGACUCCAUUUCCUGUCACCCUCUCAGCUCUCCCAGACCCAAGCUUGGUGAUUUUUAAUGUUCUAGGUGUUAAGCCCCACUAGUUGUAAGAAGUCACGAGGUAGGGCCCUCUGGUUUGGAAAGCCAAAUGCUACGGGGAUUUGUCUUUCCAGUGUAAGUCCCCCGUGCCUGGGGUACCUGGUGGGGGCCUGUUCCUCUCCCCUUUCCAUACUCUUGGCUUCCCUCCCUCCUGCAGACAGUUCGAUGGGUUAGUUUGGCUCUGGAGCAAGUGUCCGCCCUUCCUACCUUCUUUGAUGUGGUCUCUUCUCUACAUUUGGCUGCACAGAGUCUGUUCUGCCUGUCUUUGGGUUGUUUUCUGGGUCAUUUACACUGGUGUGGAUGUUAUCUGGGUGUACUCAUGGGACAAGGUGAGCCUUGGGUCUUCCUACUGUGCCAUCUUCCUUGAAAGUCCAGCAUAUUUAUCAUUGUUUUAAGUAAACUGUUAUUAACAUAUAGCAUAUGUACAGGUAAAAACCUACAAAUAAGUAGAAGUUCUCUCUUCCCAGGUCCGUCCUUGUACAUAUCCCUGUAGGACGGGGAAUUAGUAAAUUCUGCUUUGUGAAUUACUUGUUUCUGUAAAUAAAGUUUUAUCAGAGUACAACCAUGCCCAUUUUUUUUUAACAUAUUGUUUAUAUCUGCUUUUGCCCUACAACAGCAAUGUUGAAUAGUGGUGACACAGACUAUGUGGCCUGCAAGCCUAAAAUAUUUACAAUGUGACUUUUUAAGGGGUGCCUGGGUGGCUCAGUUGUUUGAGCAUCAGAUUUCAGCUCAGGUCAUGAUCUCACUGCUUGUGGGUUUGAGCCCCACGACAGGCUCUGUGCUGAUAGCUCGGAACCUGGAGCCUGCCUCAGAUUCUGUGUCUCCCUCUUUCUCUCCCCCUCCCCCCCUCAUGCUCUGUCUCUCUCAAAAAUAAAUAAACCUUAAAAAAAUUAAAAAAAUACAAUGUGGCUUUUUAAGAAAAAAAAAAAAAAAAGCCAACCCCUGUCCUAGAUUGUGAUGGGCUAUGACUCUAAUUAUAUGUCUAAAUGCAAUGAGGGAUGGUGGGGGUGCAUUUGAGGAGAGCCCGAAUCUGCUUUAAGUGAGACAAUUAUGGGAUCUUCAAGCCUGAGAGGCUAACCUUUGAUGGGAAAACGGGCUAAUUCUACUGGAAGGGAAGUAUACAGAUAUUCAAGUAUCUCAGUCAUUGAAGUGCAUACAGAUGUCAUCAUUUCAUUCAAGAUCCCAUUUUUUUUCAAUUAACACCCAAAAUUUGAUGUAAGAGACUUGACAAGGCUGUGACCACAGUAUGUAUUGUAAUAUUGCAAUAAGUAUUAAUUUAAAUCUGGUUAUGUUUUGUUUGGGUUUUGUUUUGUUUUGUUUUUUUUGGAAAUAUCAACCCCCAAGACUACAAGUGAUAGGAGACUUUUCCAAGGGGCUCUUGGAUGUUCUUUGGUGCUCUAAGAGUGCUUUGACCCAAGAUUUUAAAGAAGUGAGCUUGUCCUUUUGCUUCUGUGGGAUGUUUAGUCCGAAGCAUCUAGCCCACCCUUGUAGUUAUUACUGUCCUCAUUUCCACCUGAAGGUCCUGUUGUUUCAGCUAUAAGUGAUGAUUUGUUUAAUGUUUAUUUACUUUUGAGAGAGAGAAGGAGAGAGGGAGAGGGAGAGGGAGGGAGGGAGGGAGGGAGAGAGAGAGAGAGAGAGAAAGAAAACACGAGUAGUGGAGGGGCAGAGAGAGAGGGAGAAUCUGAAGCAGGCUCCAGGCUCUGAGCUGUUAGUACAGAGCCCAAUGCAGGACCCAAACCCAUAAACCAUGAGAUCAUGACCUGAGCUGAAGUUGGAUACUUAACCGACUGAGCCAUCCAGGUGCCCCAGUAAUGAUUUUUAAUAGUUACUUCUCACUGAAUUCCAUGGAUUACUAGUGUCAUUUCUACUAGGAAGGUCAUCCCUGAUUACAUGUAUAAUCAGGAAAGAAAACUAAUUCUAUAUGGUCAAUUCUUAAGGAUCUGUUUCUUGGAACCAAUACCGACAUCAAACUAGUUAUUAGUUAGGAUUCAGACAGGAAAUCAGAAAACAGAUAUUUGACAAGAAGGGAUUUAAUACAUGUAUUUAGAUACCUGAAAAAUUACAGGAAGAUCUGGAUGGAGUAAAGGUCAGGGUUCCAGAAAGGUAGAGACCAUAGAAUCACGGGAAGCUGCCAUAGAUAAUGUUAGCUACCUAUAGUACUGACACAGGAAAUUCACAAAAGGGCUCCUGGAAGCUACUGCAAACCUUCUAUCUGCCCUCUGCCCACAAGUCCACGUGCCAGUUCUGGUGUAAAUAAUGGCUUCCUCCCCUGUUCUUCAGGUGUCCUACGAGUGCCUUGUAUGGACCAAAUCUACCCCCGCCCCGCCCCCAGAAAGAGAUCCUCAGGAAUGUAACGAAUAUGCUUCCAAAUUUGUCAGGAAGAGUGAUGAUUCCUCCAUCAAUAAAGCACAUCCAACUGCUAGGGGAUAUUAGAAUUAACAAUAAGAAGGAAGCUUCUAAAACAUGCUGAAAGAGACCUUUCGGCUGACAACAUAAAAAGUUGAGGGAAAAGGUCCUCAGUUGACAGCAGACAAUCCACCGCAUUGCAUAAAUAUUUCCCCAAAUGUUCUGUGGGAUGUUGGCGCUAUGAUGCAGUUGGUCAGUAAAGGAUUUUACGGCCAGAUACAUUUGAGAAAAUCUUAAAACUCUAACUUGUUCUUUUUAAAAAAAAUAUUUAUUUUUGAGAGAGAACACAAGCAGAGGAGGGGCAGAGAGAGCGGGGCAGCGGGGGGGGGGGGCGGGGGUGCGUGGACAGAGGAUCCAAAAGUAGGUUCUGUGCUGACAGCAGAGCCUGAUGCAGGCAGGGCUCAAACUCAUGAACCCUGAGAUCAUGACUUGAUCAUGAUCAGGUCAUGUCGGACGCUCAACUGACUGAGCCACCAAGUCUCCCCAAAACUCUGACUCAUUCUUAGAGAAUUACAGUACGUAUACUUAUAUUAAGGAGUCUGAGAAAACCUGCAAUAAAGACACCAUCCUUUAACUUAGGCCAGCAUUAUCAACAGUGUUAACUACUCUGGUUUUCCCCUUAGUGUCUGAAGAACAUUCUGGAAAACACACUUAGGGAAAGGCUAACAAUGAACCAUUUCUUGGGUUAGUUUUGUGGGCUUGUGUUAGGUCGCCAUUGACAAGGAAUGUUAGAAAGGGUGAAAUAGGAAAUUGCAAAUCUAGAAAUCCCAAGCCACCACAUUUGAAAUAGACCGAAGCAAUAUUGAGAACAUCUUGUGGAAAGACAUCAUUCACCUUGCAACAGUUUGUAUACACCAAGUAAUAUAGGCUGUGUGCCUGUCUGCAAGCAAAAGUUGAAGGAGCUCUUCACGUUCUCUGAGGCGUAAGAAACACUGUAGCACGUUGCAUCAGCAUUUUGUAGACAAAGCGUGUUGUACAAAAUAAUGGGAAUAUCUGAAAAGUGUUCCUCCUGGAACUCUGAGUCCACCAUAAUGAGACUUUGUUCUGCUGAUCUAGGGAUGGGUUCAAAUGUGUUUCAUUACUUACUUCCAAAAAGUAAUAGCUAAUGCAAAAUCAAUACUUGAGAUGGUCUGUUGAAAAUGACCAUAAAAUAUGGAACUGAAUCUAAGUGAGAGAAGCCAGACACAAGAGAUCACACAGAUUUAAUUUAUAUACAAUAUAUAAGUAAAGUUUAUAUAAAAUAAAAGGGUAGGUAAGUCCACAGAGAGAAAGCAGAUGAGCAGUUGCAAGGGGCUGGAAGAAGGAGAAAACGAAGAGUGGCUGCUUAAUGGAUAUGAGGUUCCUUUUGGGGUGAUGGAAAUGUUUUUGAACUAGAUAAAAGUGAUGGUUGCACAACACUGUGAAUGUACUAAAUGUCACCAAAUUGUACGCUUUAAAAUGAUUAAACUUACAUGAAUUUUAUGCUGAUUUUUUAAAAAGAAAAUAUAGGGGUAUCUGGAUGGCUCAGUCAGUCAUCCAGCUUCAGCUCAGGUCAUGAUCUCUCAUGGUUCGUGAGUUCAAGGCCCGCAUCGGGCUCUGUGCUGACAGCUCAGAGCCUGGUGCCUGCCUGGGAUUCUGUGUCUCCCUGUCUCUCUGCCCCUCCCCUUCUCUCGCUCUGUUUCUCACUCACUGACUCACAAAAAUAAAUACAUUAAGAAAUAUAUAUAAAACUGAUUAAGUCAAGGUGGAUGAGAGGACUUCAAGGAAGAACCCUCCAUCCAAGGUGGGAAAGCUAGCAGAGCUUGUUCUGUGCCCAGAAAAGAAGUUGGUUAAGACAUUGUCAUCUUUUCUUGGUUGUUCUAGAAAGUAUCCACCAAGCUAGAGCAAUUGGUGAUGUGACAGUAAAAUAACAUGGUGCCGGAAUGCUAGCUCUUUCUUUCAGACUAUAGGAAAAUCCAAGAGCGAGCCAGAGAGAGAGGAGUAAUUGAUAAUGUUGAGAAAGUUGCAGACUAAGCAUACAGGCAACAGCAACACAAGUGUGUAACUUCGAUGAGGAAAGGCAUUUCUGUUCACAGUGAUUGAUCUGAGGCUGCUAGCUGCGAGUCAGGAAAACGAAUAUCUUGUUGAAUUUCAGCAGCCAAAUUGUAACACCCUAAAAUUAGCAUGGUGAUUAUUAGUGAACUCUGGGAUAUUAGUAAACUGGAAAGGGGAUCUCCAUGUGUAUUAGUGAUCUGUUGCUGCUGUGUACCCACAGCCCCUGAACCCCCCUGCCCACUGCACCCAGCCCCCACCCAUCAUUCCCUGAUGCAUUCAUUGCUAUGCAGCUGGUAGCAGACUUGAACUGAGUAUUUUUUAUAUCUGUUUGGGGACAUUUUUAAUGGUGUUUUAAAUAUUAAAAUAUACAUCUUUAACUUACUAUAGUUUAUUUUCAAGUAGUCUUGUACUAUUUUUAAGUAAUAAAAGAACCUUACAAUAUUAUUUAUCGCUUCUUAGACAACAUUGCACUUUUUGUGUGUUUUACUUCUACGUGUGCUGUAAACGGUACAAAAUGCUAUGUUUUGCUUUAAGUAUUCCAGGGUCUUUUAGUUUUUAAUUUUAAAAAUUUUAUUUCUAGUGUAGUUGACAUACAAUGUUGUAUUAGUUUCGGGUGUACAAUGUAGUGAUUCAACAAUUCCAUACAUUACUCAGUGCUCAUCAAGAUAAGUGUAGGGGCGCCUGGGUGGCUCAGACAGUUAAGUGUCUGACUCUUGGUUUCGGCUCAGGUCAUGAUUUCACUGUUAGUGAGAUGGAGCCCUGCUUUGGGCUCUCUGCUGUCGAUGUGGACUCUCCUUCGGAUUCUGUCUCCCUCUCUCUCUGCCCCUCCCCUGCUCAUGUGGGUGUGUGUGUACUCGUUCACGCUCGUUCUCUCAAACAAGAAAACAUUUCAUUAAAAAAAAUAUAAAGUGUAUUCUUAAUCUCUCUCUCCUACUUCACCCAUCCCCCUCACUCACCUUCCCUCCAGUAAUCAUCUGUUUGUUCUCUGUAGUUAAGAGUCAGCAUUUUGAUCUGUCUCCUUUUUUUCCCCUUUGCUCAUUUGUUUCUUAAAUUCCACAUAUGAGUGAAAUUAUAAUGGCAUCUGUCUUUCUUUGAAUUAUCUUGCUUAGCAUUAUAUUCUCUAACUCCAUGUUGUUUAAAUGGCUAGAUUUCAUUAUUUUUAUGGCUGAAUAAUAUUCCAUUUAUGUAUAUAGAUACCUCACAUCUUCUUUAUCUUGGUCUACUUCCCUAGUUUGGCUAUUGUAAGCAAUACUGCAAUAAACAUAGGGGUGUUUAUAUCCUUUUGAAUUAGUGUUUUAGUAUUCUUUGGGCAGAUUCCCAGUAGUGUAAUUUUUGUAUCUUAUGGUAAUUUUAUCUUUAAUUUUUUGAGGAGCCUCCAUACUAUUUUCUACAAUGGCUGCACCAGUUUACAUUCCCACCAACAGUUCAAGAGGAUUCUUUCUUCUCUAGAUCCUCAUCAACACUUGUUUCUUGUGCUUUUUAUUUUAGCUAUUCAACAGGUGUAAUAAGAUAUCUCAUUGUAGUUUUGAUUUGCAUUCCCCUGAUGAUUAAUGGUGCUGAGCAUCUUUUCAUGUGUUUUUUGGCCAUUUUGUAUGUCUUCUUUGGAGAAAUGUUUGUUCAUGUCUUCUGCCCAUCUUUUAAUUGAAUCAUGUGAUUUUUGGUGUUGAAUUUUAUCAGUUCUGUAUAUAUUUUAUUUUUUAAGAAUUUUUUUUUUUUCAACGUUUAUUUAUUUUUGGGACAGAGAGAGACAGAGCAUGAACGGGAGAGGGGCAGAGAGAGGGAGACACAGAAUUGGAAACAGGCUCCAGGCUCUGAGCCAUCAGCCCAGAGCCCGACGCGGGGCUCGAACUCACGGACCGCGAGAUCGUGACCUGGCUGAAGUCGGACGCUUAACCGACUGCGCCACCCAGGCGCCCCUGUUCUGUAUAUAUUUUAGAUACUCACCCUUUAUCAGAUAUGUCCUUGGCAAAUAUCUCUCCUAUUUAGUUGAUUUUCUUUAGUUUUGUUGGUUGUUUGCUUUGCUGUGCAGAAGCUUUUUCAUUGUGAUGUAGUCCCAAUAGCUUAUUUUUGCUUUUGCUUUCCUUGCCUCAGGAGACAUAUCCUGAAAAAUGUUGCUAUGGUCGAUGUCAGAGAAAUUACUACCUGUACUACUCUCCUCUAGGAUUUUUAUGGUUUCAGGAUUCACAUUUAGGUCUUUAAUACAUUUAAAAUUUACUUUUGUGUGUGUGGUUAGGAAAGUGGGCCAGUUUCAUUCUUUUGCAGGUAGCUGUCCAGUGUUCCCAGCACCAUUUGUGGAAGAGACUAUUUUUUUCCAUUGCAUAUUAUUGCCUCCUUGGUCGAAGAUUAAUUAACCAUAUAAUCAUGGGUUUAUUUCUGGGCUUUCUAUUGUGUUCCAUUGAUCUAUGUGUCUGUUUUGUGCCAGUACCAUACUGUUUCGAUUAUUACAGCUUUGUAGUAUGUCUUGAAAUCUGGAGUUGUGAUACCUUCAGCUUUGUUUUUCUUUUUCAUGAUUACUUUGGUUAUUUCCAUACAAAUUUUAGGAUUAUUUAUUUUAGUAUUUAUUGCAAUGCAGCUCUUCUGGGGAUGAAAUCUCUCCACUUUUGUCUGUCAGAAAACAUACUUUUCAGUUGCUUUUGGAGGUUGUAUUUUGCUAUAUAUAGAAUUCUUUGUUAACUUUUUUUUCCUUUCAAGUACUUAAAAGUUGCCUUUCUAUUGUCUUCUGGCCCACCUGGUUUCCAAUGAGAAGUCAGCAGUAUUUCUCACUGUUGUUUCCCUAUGUGUAAUACAUGUGGCUGGUUUGAAAUUUUAUCUUGGUUUUCAGCAGCUUGAGUCUGAUGUGCCUAGAUGUGCGGGGGAGUGUGUGUGUGUGUGUGUGCGCGCGCGUGCGCAUACACGCUUAGAGUUUGCUAAUUGACAUCUUUCAACAAUUCUGUUAAACUCUCAGCCAUUGUGUCUUUAACAAUUUCUUCUGCCCCAUUCUCUCUUCUUUUUCUCUGGUACUCCAGUUCAUAUAUGUUUCAUAGAUUGCAGAUAUUCGUUGCAUUUUCUGUCCAAUUUCUGUAUUUUGGUUUAUAUAAUUUCUACUAUCUUUAAGUCAUAGGUCAUUUUCUUCCAUGUGUCCAGGCUGCUUCUGAUCCCUUCGAAUGGAUUCUUCACUAGGAUAUUAUGUUUUCCAUUUCUAGCACUUCCAUUUGAUCAUUUUUAUUGUUUCAUUCUCUCUGCUGAGAUUCCCCGUAUGUUUAUGAAUGUUGCCAGCUUUCCUAUUAGAUCCUUUAACAUGUUUUCAUGGUUAUUUUAGAGUCCUUGUCUCAUAAUUCCAGUAUCUGAUUCAUCUCUUGGUCUGCUUCUUUCCUCUCAUGAUUGUAAGUUUCAUUUGCUUGUUUCUUUGUAGGUGUCAUAGUUUUAAUUGUACAUUGCACAGUGUAUAAAAGAAUAGUAGAGGCUAAAGGAAAUGGUCUCUUCUCCAGAAAAUUGCUCAGCCCUUCUGUCAGAAUGCCUAGAAUCCCUAGCCCUGCAGAGACACCAAGUAAGUACCUGUAAGACCUCAGAAAUUUCGUUGUUAAUUUACAGCCUAGAUACCAGCUUUGUGAACCAUGAGAGAUUUCUCUCUGCUUUACAUCCUGUAUUCUAGCUUUUUGAGUCGUUAGUAAUUUCUUUUUUCUAUUUAGUUACAUCCCUAUCUUUAUAUACUCAAGGAGAGCUCUCUCUGCUCUACUCUUCUUUCAGUCUUUGGCAGUUGCUGCUCUGCACUCAAAAGUGACUGAGAAAGAGUUCUCUCCUCUUUCUGCCUUGCUUGUAUACUUCAUUGAGCAUUCUGUUUACUUAGGAAAGAUCUGAGCACCUUAUACGGGAUCUCUCUAAGCCCUUCUGCACCGUCUCAGCCUUUAGCAUAUGAUCCAUGUGCCCUUGGUGAGGGCCUAUGGUAAAUAGCAGGUAGGUGCAUACUCUGUGGCUGGGGCUCCUUGGGAUUCUAGUUCAUCAUGCUAGUUCACUUGCAGUCAUUAAAAAUCCAUUAAAAUGUGGCUGGCUUCACCCUAUCACCUGCUGUGAUGCAUUCCUUUCAUCUUUCAGCUUCUCUGCUAGGAUGAAACAUCUAUAGGUCUUGACUGUUAAGGGAAGGACUCUUUACCCUCUAGAUUUUAGUGUAGUUAGGUUUAUUUUCUGUCCUCAGGUCUCUGGUAGGUUUAAAAACUGAUUUUGUAGCUUAUCUGAUUUGUUGGUAUUGUUAGGAUAGCAGUAACAAUCUUUUGUGAGUCAAAGUUGGAAGGCCUGGAACGUGGAUUUUAAUGACCUCUAGUAGACAGGAGGCAAAGUCAGGAUCUAAGGAAGGGUAGGAGGUAGAAUCCAAGAUUCUAACAUAAGUUGGAACUCUAAAAAGGGUUGAUGUAGAAACUGACCACUCAAAGGGGGACUUACUUGUUUAGGUUGGCUGAAUGAUGAGUAGGAAAAGAGAAAAAGAAUCUACUUGAGAAAUUUGAACCACAAGCAUACACUCUUGCUUUUGGGGACAGAAUUCACUCUACCUGUGUGGUCUGAAUACCACCAAGCCACAUUUCACUUUAAAGUAACCAUAGGUUGGUAUUGUCCCUAUAUGCCUGGCAGGAGCAAAGCAAAUCUUCCCUGUAUAAUUGAUAUAAAACAUGGAUUUCAGCUCUUUCUGUACCCAGAACAGUCAUGACUCAUGGUCCUGAAGCAUGUAGCAGCUCCAAAGCCUUGGAUGCUGGACAUACUAACUGAGGUUUAUGUCCUUUGUGCACCCGCUGGGCCCUCUCGUUAUUUUACUGAAGAACAGACUCAAGUGUGCUCUGAAAGGAGAAAAAGGAGAUCUACCUGCAGUGUUCCUUAAGAUUGAUGGCAGGCUGUAUACUGAUACAGGAUACCCUACUAGUUUUAUGGAUGUCUUCAAUAUUGACAAUAGUGGUGAGAAUUUCCAUCGAAUCUAUGACCCAAGGGUCAUGUUGCUGUUCAUCAAACUAUGCCGGAGGAGGCCACGUAUAAGUUCUAUGAAAUGAGAAAAAUCUUUGUAGGUACCACCCAGAUUGACAUCUUCUUGAUAGAUAUGGAGCUUGACCAAAUCAAUUAGGCAUUUCAUCAAGUUCCGCCAGCCUAUGUAUGUUGACUGAACGUGCUAACCUGGGACACCAAUAGAGAGAGACAAGCUGCUCUUGAUGUGACUCAUGUGAAAGAUGGCAGUAGCUUUGCCACCAGGCUUUCUAAAAUAUUCAUCUUUGGAGAAGACGAUAAUCAUGGAUUUCCCUGCCGAAAAGAAAGAAUACUUGCCUCAUCAUUGCUAAAGACAGAGACUAUUAUCCAAACAGAGCAAUGGGUGAAAUAAUUUCCAAUAAGAAAAAUGGAGAGCUCCUUGCAGUUAAUUAAGGAUAUAUUAGCGCGGGGGAGAAAACAAAAACAAAACACUAUUUUAAGAGAUUUUCCAGGGCGCCUGGGUGGCUUAGUUGGUUAAGUGCCCGAGUUUGGCUCAUGUCACUAUCUUGGGGUUUGUGAGUUUGGGCCCCGCUUGGGGCUGUGCUGACAGCUGAGAGCCUGGUGCCUGCCUCGCAUUCUGUGUCUCCCUCUCUCUCUGCCCCUCUCUCACUCGUACUCUGUCUCUCUUUCUCUCAAAAAUAAAUACACAUUAAAAAUUUUUUUUAAAAAGGAAAUUUCCACCAAGGAACAUAUACUCACAGUUUUUUCUUAAUUACUAAAGCCCAUGAAGAAACAAGCCCAAGUAAAUGAAAGUCAACAGGAACAAAAAUAAUAAUAAAUUGAAGGAUCAGACUCCCAACAUUGAUAUUGGAAUUACUAUAUACAGAUUACAUAUCAACAGUGUUUAGUCUGUCUAAAUUUUGUCUGCAUAAUGAAAAUGAGAAUCUUAAAAUCAUAGUGGUGAAUGAAAAAAAGCAAGUCUAAAAUCCUUAACACGGAUAAACAAAUUUCAGUCUGCUUGUACAGCAGCGUAUCAUAGAGCAGUUUGAAAAAGCACUAGACCUAUUCGUACCAACACGGAUGAAUCCCAGAAAUAGAAUGAAGAGUGAGAAAAGCAUUUGAAAUACAUAUAAUGGAAGUUCUUUUAUAUAAGUUUCAAGACCUAGAAAAAUCAAACAUUAUGCUGUUAAGUGAUACAUCAUGGAUUGUAAAACUAAUUAAAAAAAUUUUUUUAACAUUUAUUUUUGAGAGAUAAUUUUGAAAAGUAGCUGAUAAUUGGGGCGCCUGGGUGGCUCUGCCAGUUAAGCGUCCAACUUCAGUUUAGGUCAUGAUCUUGCAGUUGGUAAGUUCGAGCCCCACGUCAGGCUCUCUGCUGUCAGUGCAGAGCCUGCCUCGGAGUCUCUGUCCCCCUCUCUCUCUCUGCCUCACUCACUCACUCAAAACUAAAUAAACAUUAAAAAAUUAGCUAAUAGUUUAUAAUUCAGAAUGUUGGUUUCAUAUGAAUGGUAAGAAAUUGAAGAAGAUCAGAGAGGGAGUAUAGUUGGCUUAACAGAUUUGUUGGGUUGUGUUUUAUUACUUAAACCAGGAGGCUUAACACACAGGUAUUUGUUUUCAUUACCAUUAUUCAAGUAUAGGACUAUGUGUCAUUCACUAUUUCAUAUGAAUGAAUUGUUUAUUUUUUUUAAACUCAAAUCUUGUUUUAAGAUCAGUGAUCUAAAUCCUUGUUUGGAAGACCUCCCUGAAUCUGCAGCGGUUUUUUUUCUCCAAAGACAGAAUAUCAAACAGGUCCAUCUAGUGGUGGAUUAGAGAAUCUCAAACAAGGAAUAAACGAAUAAUACAUGAGGAUGUAAGGCUUUUUGUUCAAAAAUAGCCCAUUCAACCAAUAAUCCAGUUAAACAAUGGGCAGAAGACAUGAGUAGAUAUUUCUCCAAAGAGACACAUGAAAAAGAUGCUUAACAUCACUUAUCAUCAGGGAAAUACACAUCAAAACCACAAUGAGAUACCACCUCACACCUGUCAGAAUGGCUGAAAUUCACAGCACGGGAAGCAAUGGGUGUUUGGGAGGAUGUGGAGAAAGGGAAACCUUCUUGCACCACUCGUGGGAAUGCAAACUAGCACACCCACCCUGGAAAACAGUAUGGAGCCUCCUCAGAAAGUUAAAAACAAAACUACUCUACAAUCCAGCAAUUGCACUACUAGGUAGUUACCCAAAGGAUACAAAAAUACUGAUUUGAAGGGAUACAUGCACCUCGAUGUUUAAUGAUAGCAUUAUCAACAGUAGCCAAAGUAUGGAAAGAGCCCAAAUGUCCAUUGACUGAUGAACGGAUGAAGACGAUGUGGUGUAUACGUAAAAUGGAAUGUUCGCCGUAAAAACGCAUGAAACCUUGCCAUUUGCAAUGACCUGGAUGGAGCUAGAGAGUAUUAUGCUAAGUGAAAUAAGUCAGAGAAAGACAAAAAAUACGAUUUCACUCAGAUGUGGAAUUUCAGAAACAAAACAGCAUACCUGUCGCAGGCAGAGGCAGAUUUUUCCCCUUACUUCCAGUGCUGUGGCGUUUUCCUCCAGACCUCCUAUUUAUUGCAUCGUCCCUGCCUGAGUCCUGAGUAUUGGAGAACUCCUUCCUACUUUUUUUUUUUUGCCUAAGCUCAAAUGCUGCCCUCACUUCACCUCUAAGGUCAUAAGAUAAAUUCAUGCCACUGUUUAAGUUUUAGGUCACUCUAGACGUGUGAAUAAAUUGUUGAAUGAAAAUGUGCAGAGUACGGAACUGUUGGUGGCAUAUGUUCCCAUUUGUAUCUUUUUAAAGUUUAUUUUGAGAGAAAGAGUGUGCACAUGCACACGAGCAGGGGAGGGGCAGAGAGAGGGGGAGAGAGGAGAGGGGAAUCCCAAGCAGGCUCCACGCUGUUCACGAGCAGGUUAGUGAGUCCUGAUGGGGGGUUCGAUUCCAUGAAGCGUGAGAUCAUGAUCUGAGCUGAAAUCAGGAGCCGAGUGCUUAACCAACAUAGCCACCCAGGUGCCCCCAUUUGUAUUUUUAACAAGGAUAUAUGUGUGUUUUCAUAUACCUAGACUAUCUGGGGAAGGACAAAGAAGAAAGUGAUAACCUAGGCCUUUGGAGGGGGGAGGACUCUUGGAGAAAUUGAGAAGGAGACUUUGUUUUUCUUUUACUGUCUACUUAUUGUUGCUCAUUCAGUUUUGUUGCAAUGUGCAUAUAUUACUCCCUCGUACAAAUUUUACAGAGAGAAAAUGCUAUGUAUUCUAUACAUGUAGAUGCCAUCACUCUGAUAAACUUCCUACAGAUAAAGCACAUUGAUGCUUUCUAACAGACUUUAUAUCUUAUAUCUAACAGAUUUUAUAUCCAGUUAUAAAACUGGAUAUAUGUGUAUAAACAUGUAUAUGUUUAUGCGCUGUGGCAUAGGACAAACUUAGAUUGUCAGGAGAAUGGUCUUGCUUGGAUCGAAAGGCUCUCUCUCCUGUGUGUCUUUGGACAUACUCAUUGCCCUUAAUAUUUAGCUAUAACUUUUAGCUUAAAAUGAUUUAUCUUAACAACUGACUUUUUUUCCCCGAUUAAGUUGAAAAAAAUCAGUUUACCCUUUUUGUUUAUGUUUGAGUCUUGUUUCGUUAUAAACCCAGUGAAAUGUAACAGCAAUCUCAAACUGACACAUAACCUUUGCAAAGAUCUACUUCAGACACUAACUGGAAGAAACACUGUAAUUCCUUUUGUCUUAGCAAACUCUAAAAUGAAUGUGCAAUCAAGUAUCACCAGUGAAAACAUGAGUGUUUUCUGAGCAAAUCUUUUGUAGUGGAUGGAGAGUGUUUGACUCCUCAACAUUUGCUCCCCCUUCCCAUUGUAAGACAGCAGUGAACUUCCAGGAACUGACUUGAGCUCCAUUGAUGUGCCCUGGUUAGGAAGUCAGUGAUUGAUUGAUUGAUUGAUUGAUUGUUUCUUUAUAAUUAAAAAAAAAUUUUUAUAUAUGAAAUUUAUUGUCAAAUUGAUUUCCAUACAACACCCAGUGCUCAUCCCAACAGGUGCCCUCCUCAAUACCCAUCACCCACCCACCACCCCUCCCUUCCACCCCCCAUCAACCCUCAGUUUGUUCUCAGUUUUUAAGAGUCUCUUAUGCUUUGGCUCUUUCCCUCUCUAACCUCUUUUUUUUUUUUUCCUUCCCCUCCCCCAUGGUCUCCUGUUAAGUUUCUUAGGAUCCACAUAGAAGUGAAAACACAGGGAAUCUGUCCUUCUCUGUAUGACUUGUUUCACUUAGCAUAACACUCUCCAGUUCCAUCCACAUUGCUACAAAAGGCCGUAUUUCAUUCUUUCUCAUUGCCAUGUAGUAUUCCAUAGUGUAAAUAAACCACAAUUUCUUUAUCCAUUCAUCAGUUGAUGGACAUUUAGGCUCUUUCCAUCAUUUGGCUAUUGUUGAAAGUGCUGCUAUAAACAUUGGGGUACAAGUGCCCUUAUGCAUCAGCACUCCCGUAUCCCUUGGGUAAAUUCCUAGCAGUGCUAUUGCUGGGUCAUAGGGUAGAUCUAUUUUUAAUUUUUUGAGGAACCUCCACAGUGUUUUCCAGAGCGGCUGCACCAGUUUGCAUUCCCACCAACAGUGCAAGAGGGUUCCCAUUUCUCCACAUCCUCUCCAGCAUCUAUAGUCUCCUUAUUUUUUCAUUUUAGCCACUCUGACUGGCAUGAGGUGAUACCGGAGUGUGGUUUUGAUUUGUAUUUCCCUGAUGAGGAGUGACGUUAAGCAUCUUUUCAUGUGCCUGUUGGCCAUCUGGGUGUCUUCUUUAGAGAAGUGUCUAUUCAUGUCUUCUACCCAUUUCACUGGAUUAUUUGUUUUUCGGGUGUGGAGUUUGGUGAGCUCUUUAUAGAUUUUGGAUACUAGCCCUUUGUCCGAUAUGUCAUUUGCAAAUAUCUUUUCCCAUUCCAUCGGUUGCCUUUUAGUUUUGUUGAUUGUUUCCUUUGCAGUGCAGAAGCUUUUUAUCUUCAUGAGGUCCCAAUAGUUCAUUUUUGCUUUUAAUUCCCUUGCCUUUGGGGAUGUGUCAAGUAAGAAAUUGCUGCGGCUGAGGUCAGAGAGGUUUUUUCCUGCUUUCUCCUCUAGGGUUUUGAUGGUUUCCUGUCUCAUAUUCAGGUCCUUUAUCCGUUUAGAGUUUAUUUUUGUGAAUGGUGUGAGAAAGUGGUCUAGUUUCAUCCUUCUGCAUGUUGCUGUCCAGUUCUCCCAGCACCAUUUGUUAAAGAGACUUUUUUCUGUUGGAUAUUCUUUCCUGCUUUGUCAAAGAUUAGUUGGCCAUACUUUUGUGGGUCUAUUCUGGGGUUUCUAUUCUAUUCCAUUGGUCUAUGUGUCUGUUUUUGUGCCAAUACCAUGCUGUCUUGAUGAUUACAGCUUUGUAGUAGAGGCUAAAGUCUGGGAUUGUGAUGCCUCCUGCUUUGGUCUUCUUCUUCAAAAUUACUUUGGCUAUUCGGGGCCUUUUGUGGUUCCAUAUGAAUUUUAGGAUUGCUUGUUCUAGUUUCGAGAAGAAUGCUGGUGCAAUUUUGAUUGGGAUUGCAUUGAAUGUGUAGAUAGCUUUGGGUAGUAUUGACAUUUUAACAAUAUUUAUUCUUCCAAUCCAUGAGCAUGGAAUGUUUUUCCAUUUCUUUAUAUCUUCUUCAAUUUCCUUCAUAAGCUUUCUAUAGUUUUCAGCAUACAGAUCUUUUACAUCUUUGGUUAGAUUUAUUCCUAGGUAUUUUAUGCUUCUUGGUGCAAUUGUGAAUGGGAUCAGUUUCUUUAUUUGUCUUUCUGUUGCUUCAUUAUUAGUGUAUAAGAAUGCAACUGAUUUCUGUACAUUGAUUUUGUAUCCUGCAACUUUGCUGAAUUCAUGUAUCAGUUCUAGCAGACUUUUGGUGGAGUCUAUCGGGCUUUCCAUGUAUAAUAUCAUGUCAUCUGCAAAAAGUGAAAACUUGACCUCAUCUUUGCCAAUUUUGAUGCCUUUGAUUUCCUUUUGUUGUCUGGUUGCUGAUGCUAGCACUUCCAACACUAUGUUAAACAACAGCAGUGAGAGUGGACAUCCCUGUCGUGUUCCUGAUCUCAGGGAGAAAGCUCUCAGCUUUUCCCCAUGGAGGAUGAUAUUAGCUGUGGGCUUUUCAUGUCUAUGGCCAUACCACCCUGAACACGCCCGAUCUCAUCUGAUCUCGGAAGCUUAGCAGGGUAGGGCCUGGUUAGUACUUGGAUGGGAGCCAGUGAUUGUUUCAAGGACCUAGCCCUACCAUUGUUUUUGGGGAAAUGUAAAUUUGUCCCCAAAAACUGAAGAUAAAGACUUCCUCUUUUGGUGGCUUAGGGAGAGGCAAUUUCUCUCAUCUGCUGGAUGUAAAUAAAGGAGUAAGCAAGCUUUAUUGUAGUUGGUAGCUGUCCUCCAACCUGGAGGGGAAACCAGACAUGGAUUGAUACAGAUGCUGUGGUUAUAGAGCAAAGAAAGGGAAAGAAGCUGUGUUCUUGAUGACACAAGUGAGUCGCUCAACCAACCAACCCUGGAGCCCGCCCCAUCCCUGGACCUUAUGUAAAUGCCAGCUGGUCGGUUUUUUAUUGUUUGAGUCAAAUUGCUUUGCUUGGUUUUUCUAUUACUUUCAGUUGAAAGCAUCCUGAUGCAUAUUUCAAUAGAACAGUAAGAAAAACCCUCAGUAAGUAAAUGACACAAUAUCAAGGCUAGAUUUUGGGUACUCUUCUCCUAUUGGAUCACUUGAAUAUUUUAAUUGUAAAAGUGCAAGUAUAUUUCAGAGCAUGGAUAUUCAUACACCCUCCUACUGGUUCUCCUACUAGUAUGGUGUAGUGUCUUAGUCUGUUCAGACUGCUCUAACAGAAUACCACACACUGGGUGGCUGAAACAUCAGAUAUUUAUUUCUCCUGGUUCUGGAGGCUGGAAGGUGGAGAUCAGGGUACCAGCAGGUCAAGUUCUUGGUGAAGACCUCUUCCUGGUUAACAAUGGCCACCUUUUUCUUGCAUGCUCACAUGGCAGAGAGAGAUGAUUUCUUUCAUGACUCUUUAUAAAAGCACUAAUCUCACUGAUGAGGGCUCUACUGUCAUGACCUUAUUACUUCCCAAAGGUCCAACCUCCCAAUAUCAUUACAUUUGGGGUUAGGGCUUCAACAUGUGAAUUUUGGGGAGACAUAGACUUUCAGUGCAUACCAUAGAGUAUAACAUGGAUAGUAUUAAAUGGUAAUGCAGGUAAACUAUAUCUUUACUGUGAGAGAGAGUUAACCCUUAGAUUAACCAUUAAGCAAAAUCAGCACAUACUUAGGUGUUCUACACAAAACACCUGUAACAUAAUAGCAUAUUAUUAUGCUAUAACAAAAAUACUAUAAACUGGUUGGCUUAAAAACAACAAAUAUUUAUUUCUGACAAUUCUGGAGGCUAGGAAGUCCAAGAUCAAUUUACCAGCAGAUUCAGUAUCUAGCAAGCACCCUCUUCCUGGUUCUUAGAUGGCCAUUGUUUCUGGUUUGGUUUUUGUGUUUUUUUGUUGUUGUUUUGGUUUUUGUUUGUUUGUUUGUUUUGUUUUUCACCUCCCUGUGUUCUCACGUGGAGAAAGAGAUAAGGAAUCUCCCCUCUGGGGCCUCUUUAAUAAGGGCACUAAUUCCAUUCACAAGAGCUUCACUCCUAAUCACCUCCCAAAGACCCCUCCUUUUAACAUCAUCACAUUGGGGAUCAGCAUGUGAAUUUUGGAAGGAUAUAUUCAGUCUGUAGCAUUAGGGCACUAGAGAAAGAGGGGCAUCAUGGGGCUUUUUCAAAUUGUAAUAAAAUCAGUUUUAGAUCAAGUUUUAGGAAUUCAUUACAUCCUGGUGCUUAAUCUAGAAACUAACCCUAUGAUUCAGAAGCUACAUAUAAGUUGGUUGGCUUUUUAUCCAUGUAUUUAGCUACGCUAUUGAUUGUACAUUCAUUAUAAACUCCUAAUUCAGGGUGUUUUUUUCCCCCAUGUUUCAAGUUUUCUAUUUUUUUUUUUUUGAGUCAGUUUUAAUAAAUUCAGUUUAUAUUUAUAGGAAAUUGUCUAUUUUGUCUACAUUUUCCAAUUGGCAAAAAGUUGUUCACAAUAUUCUUUUUAAAAUCCCUGCAGCAUGUGUUUGUUCAUACCCUUUUUUAUUCCAACAGUUUUUGAUUUUUUCCUUGUCUUUUUCUUUUCCAGUCAUUUUUUAUUUUCUCUCAUUCACUGGUCUUUCUAAGCAACCAUCUUGAUGAUAAAUAAUUUUUAAGAAAAAAAAAAGAGUAAAGGGAAUAUUUCUUCCACAUGUUAGAAUGCAUUUUAAAUGUAGAACUGAUCCAAAACAGAUGCUACAAAGAGUAUGGCAAAGUAGAAAAUCUAUUAAUGUAUGAAAUUACACAUAAAAUAUAUAUGAGUGUCAUAAAUGAGAUUAAUAUAUGUGUAUAUAUGUGUUUAUAUAUGUAUAUGCAUAUCAUAUACUUUGUAAACCUCAUCAGUAAGGUACAUUGAGUCACAGAGAAGGAAUAUCAGCUAAUAAACAUUUUAAAUCUAGGGGCGCCUGGGUGGCUCAGUCGGUUGAGCAUCUGACUUUGGCUCAGGUCAUGAUCUUUUGGUUUGUGGGUUCGAGCCCCGCAUCGGGCUCUGUGCUGACAGCUCAGAGCCUGGAGCCUGCUUCAGAUUCUGUGUCUCCCUCUCUCUCUGCACCCCCACUCUCUCUCCUUCAAAAGUAAAUAAACAUUAAAAAUAUUUUUUAAAAAAUAAACAUUUUAAAUCUAGUAGUGUUAAUCAUAAUAACACAAAUCCAAAUGGUAAUAAAAUACCAUUUACAUCUUAUAAAAGAAAAAGUAAGUAAGUGUAAUAGUUAAUUUAGGUAUGUGUUCAAGAUAACUGGUUAACUCAACAUUUGUAAGAAUUAUUCCUUAAUUCAUUUUGGAUCCCUAUUGGACAAUAUGCAUUAAAUGCAUAGAAAUAAUACUCACAUCCAUUGUUCUAAUGAAGAAUGUCAUAAGGAUUUAUUUUAAAAUAAUUCAGGGGCGCCUGGGUGGCGCAGUCGGUUAAGCGUCCGACUUCAGCCAGGUCACGAUCUCGCGGUCCGUGAGUUCGAGCCCCGCGUCGGGCUCUGGGCUGAUGGCUCAGAGCCUGGAGCCUGUUUCCGAUUCUGUGUCUCCCUCUCUCUCUGCCCCUCCCCCGUUCAUGCUCUGUCUCUCUCUGUCCCAAAAAUAAAUAAACGUUGAAAAAAAAAAAAUUAAAAUAAUUCAAAAGAUAAAACUAUAUUCAUGAUGAUUAAUGCAGCACUAAUUAUAAAAUUGAAAAUUGGAAAAACUUUAAAUGCUCGACAAUAGAGGGAGUGGUCAGGAACAGCAUCAUCUGUAAACUGGGUUAAACAUUACGUGCUUCUGAAAAAUUAAAAAUGUAGCGCUUGAUAUGCGUAUCACCAUUUACUGAGCACUUACUAUGAAACAGAUACUAUGUAUAUAUUACCUCUAAAUCUCACAGUCAGUCUGCACAUUAAGUCCUUUUCCUUCUCAGCGCAAAGCUUCUAGGUCUGGUGCUUUAUGAAAUUAAGUCACUUGCUCAGGGCAGCGCAGCUGGCAAAGUGGUAGAGUGGAGUGUUCAUCCCGUGCCAGUGCGGUGCCUGCCGUACGGGUGGCCCGGUGAGAGUGGAAAGGCCCUACUCACAACCUCUGCUGAAGGAGUGGCCUGUGGCGGCCACAUUCUGUACUGUGUGAUUUCUGCACUUUUACCACAGCCACCUUUCCUGUUGCUGUCGGGGUCGGGGUCUCACCCAAGGGCAGCCAAUCCAAGCUCAGGCUAGCAGCUUCUGAUACGGUCUGUCAUGGAACGCUCUGCUAGAGAAGAGAGGGAUUAUCUCCUUUCUUACUCUUAUUUCUCUAGUUUUAGGCAUAAUGAGCAAAUCAGGCAGUUGUUGGGAACUGAACUGGGAGAAUGUGAGACAAGCUUGGAGGGCGUUUCAGAAUGCUCUCGAGAGCACUGCUAACCGGGUGAGACAGAGGUCAACUGCUAGAUCACCCAUGCCAGAAAGACGGGGGUGGGUUCAAAUCAGACAGGAAGAAUCAAAAUAUGAAGUAAGGCGAAAUGGGUGUCAAUCACACUAACUUCUGUAAAUAAUGCCUACGUCUGUAAAAUCAUGCUCAUUACAUAAUCUAGUCCCUUCAUGAUCUUGUCACUUCUCCAGGCUCAUCUCUUAACUCCAGCUAAGUCAGAAAACUCGUGUGUCUGUAAGUACACUAAGCUGGUUAUCGGUUUAUUGCUUCUCAGCUCCAGAUUUAUCCUGUGCCUGAAUUAAUCAGUAUACCAUGCCUUCCUCUCCAUAGAAUGCAUUUUUGUUCGUCUACCUUAUUCCCUUGCAUCUUCCAAGACUUGGUUCAAGAGAAACUUCCUCUGAAAAGCUUUCCGUGAUCUUCUCGAUCACACUAAAGCCACCUGAGCACAAGUCCAUGGAGACCCUCUUGGCUGUCAUAGCUUUACCUCAGGAGAAGUUAGUUUGAGUCGUGAUCAGAUGUGAAAUAAGCAGGAGACAAAAGAGAGGAUUAAGUACCAGCUGUCACAAGGAGUGACUGAGGAAACAACAGAAUGCCAGCUCCUAAAAGUGUUUCCUCAAGAGAGAGGCAGACGCAUGAGUUAUAAUUGCUCACCCAUCCUUCUUUUACUUCCUGAGUUAAAGUAGAUAUAUAGUAUAUAUCUACGUAUAUAUCUACAUAUACACAUAUAUGUCUAUAAAAUAUACUUCAAUAUAUAUGUAUGUGUAUAUUUGAAAGCCUGAAACAGAUAGACUUUUUAUCCAUUUGUAACUGGGGCAAAACUGAUCCGGCUCUACAUUAAUGAGAAUGACACACUAUAAUAGCAAUUUGUGCUACAAACCGUUCUUGAGGCAACCAUCUGUGCUACGCAAAUAAAUUUGCCUCUGAAACUGCAAGACAACACUUACCCAGAGUCCUACAGAGAAUCCAGAUGCAAAUUUGCCUGGCGCGCUGCCUUUGCUGUAUCUCUUUGGCUUACCAGUUUGUGAGCAAAUUCAUAUAUAAAAUUUAAAAAGCUGGCUCGGGACUCUAGUGUGAGGCAGAAACAUAAUAGCAGCAAUUUGUAUUUAUGUAAGUAGAGUCUCUGUCCCAAACGAUCUCAUCAUUUCAAAAUAUGCUCUCAUUCAUUUACACCACAUUAUCAAAAGCCGAGAAGGUUUAAAUAGAUAUUUGAAGGUGAUUCGAAGUAUUUGCAGCAGUCUGCAUUAGUUUGAACCAGACAUGGGUGUUGUGAUUUGUAUGUCCUUUAGGGAAUGUUCCUUAGGGAAUAGCACUUUCAAUCCAGACAUUUUAUUUCUCACCAGCUCAUUGUUUGAAGUCCCAUAACGUUUUAUUUCUUCAUCUAUUAUGCCUAAGAUCUACCAAACACUGAGCUCAGAAGUAGAAAUAAAAUCAUAAGACUCAAACUUUGGAACGUAUAAAACUUAGAGCUUAGCUAUACUUGUCUUCCCUAAGCUUUACUGAGCUAUAAUCACAUAUGAGGUAUGUGUAAGUUUAACAUGUACAAUUGUGAUGAUUUGGUACACAUAUCUUUUGUGAAAUGUUUACCACAAAGAGUUUAGUUAACACACCCUCUUUAUCACAUAACGUCAUUCAUUGGUGUUAAUAUGAGAACGUUCAAAAUCUACUCUGAUAGCCACUUGUAAUAUACAGUAUUGUUAACCAUGGUCACUGUGCUGUGCAUUUGAUUCCUGGAGCUUACUCUGCUUAUAACUUGAAGUUUGUACUCUUUGAUCGACAUCUCCUCAGUUCCCCAUCUCCAGUCCCUGGCAACCAUGGUUCUACUCUUUGCUUCUGUGAGUUUACCUGUUUCAAAUUCUACACUUAAGAGAGAUCAUGUAGUAUUUGUCUUUUCUGUCCGACUUAAUUUCACUCAGCCUAGUAACCCUCCAGGUCCAUCCGUAUUGUUGCAAUGGCAGGAUUUCCCUCUUUUUAAAGACUGUCUAAACAUUCCAUUGUGUGUGUGCGUUAUUUAUUAAUCCAUCGACAGACGCUUUGGUGGUUUUCAUGCCGUGGCUAUUGUGAGUAAUGCUGCAAUGGGCACAAGCGUGUGGAUGCCUCUUCGAGGUAGUGAUUUCAUUUCCUUUGAAUAUACACUCAGCAACGGAACUGCCAGAUCGUAUGAGAGUUCCAUUUUUACAUUUUUCCCAGUUUUAAUUUUUUGAGUAACCUCCAUCCUGUUUUCCGUAGUGGUUUGCCCCAGGUUACAUUCCCAUCAACAACGCGCCAAGCGCGUUUCCUUUUCUUCACAUUCUUGCUGACAAUUGUUAUCUCUUGUCUUUUUGAUACUAGCUAUCCUAUCAGGUGUGAGUUGAUACCUCACUGCAGUUUUGAUCCGCGUUUCCCUGAUGAUGAGUAAUGCUGAGCACCUUUCCAUGUACCUGCUGGCCAUUUGUAUGUCUUACGUGGAAAAAUGUCUAUUCAGGUCUUUGCCCAUUUUUAAAUCGGAUUGUGUGUGUGUGUAUGUGUGUUUUGCUCUUGUAUGAGCGCCUUUUAUAUUUCAGAUAUUCCUUGUCAGAGAGGUGGUUUGCAAAUAUUUUCUCCCAUUCCAUAGAUUGCCUGUUCAUUUUGUUCCUUAUUUCUUUUCCUGUGCAGAGCUUUUUAUUUUUUUAAUUUUAUUUCAUCAUGUGUAAUCUGUAAUCCCCAUCCCCCCAUCCACCUCCCGUCUGGUAGCCAUUAGUUUGUUCUCUAUAGUUAAGAGUCUGUUUCUUGGUUUGUGUCUCUUUUUUUCUUUGCUCAUUUGUUUUGUUUCUUAAAUUCCACACGUGAGUGAAAUCAUAUGGUAUUUGUCUUUCUCUGACUUAUUUCACUUAGCAUUAAAUUCCCUAGCUCCAUCCAUGUUGUUGCAGAUGGCAAGAUUUCAUUCUUUUUUAUGGCCAAGUAAUAUUCCGCUGUAUAUAUAUACCGCAUCUUCUUUAUCCAUUCAUGCAUUGAUGGAGAGUUGGCUGCUUCCAUAGUUUGGCUAUUGUAAAUAGUGCUACAACAAACGUAAGUGUGCAUGUAUUCCUUUGAAUUAGCGUUUUUGUAUUUUUUGGGUAAAUACCCAGUAGUACAAUUCCUGGAUCAUAGGCUGGUUCUAUUUUAAGUUUUUUGAGGAGCUUCCGUAAUGUCUUCCACAGUGGCUGCACCAGUUUGCAUUUCCACCAACAGUGCAAGAGGGUUCCUUUUUCUCCAUAUCCUUGCCAACACUUGUUGUUUCCUGUGUUUUUUUGUUUUUGUUUUUUACUGUUAGCCAUUCUUACAGGCAUGAGGUGAUACCUCAUUGUAGUUUUCAUUUACAUUUCCCUGAUUAUGAGUGAUGUGGAGCAUCUUUUCAUGUAUCUGUUGGCCAUCUGGAUGUCGUCUUUGGAGAAAUGUCUGUCCGUGCCUUCUGCUCAUCCUGCCCAUCUUUUAAUUGGUUUAUUUAUUUGGGGGGUAUUUGGUUGUAUCAGUUAUUUAUAUAUUUUGGAUACUAACCCUUUGUUGAAUGUCAUUUGCAAAUAUCUUCUCCUAUUCAGUAGGUUGCCUUCGUGCAGAGCUUUUUAGUUUGAUGUAUUCCCGUUUACUGGUUUCUUGUUGCUGUUGCUUGUAUUUUUGGUGUCCUGUUGAAAAAGUCUUGUCAAGACCAAUAUCAAGAUUUUUCUCUAUGUUUUCCUCUAGGAUUUUUACAGUUUCAGGAUUACAUUUCAAAUUUUAGGAUUGUUUUUCUAUUUCUAUAAAAAUACCUUUGGGUUUUGCUUUGGAUAUUAUGAACACUUUAACAAUAUUAAUGUUUCCAAUCUAUGAAUUGAAAUGUCUUUUCACUUAUUUGUGUAUUCUUCAGUUGCUGUGAUCAGUGUCUCCAUAGUUUUCACUUCUUUGGUCAAGUUUAUUCCUAAGGAUUUCAUUCUUUUUGAUAUUACUAUAAAUGGGAUUGUUUUCUUUCUUUUUCAGAUAGUUUGUUGUUAGUGUACAGCAAUGCAUUUGACUUCUGCACUUUGAUUUUUUUAUCCUACAACUUUAUUGAACUAAUUUUUUCAUUGUAACAGUAUUUUUGGUGAGGUUUUUAGGAUUUUCUAUUUACAAAAUCAUGUCAUCAGCAAACAGAGACCAUUUUACUUCUUUUCUGAUGACAGCUUUUAUUUGUUUUUCUUGCCUAACUACUCUGUUAGGACUUCCAAUACUAUGUUAAAUAGGAGUCUUAUCUUGUUCCUGAUCUUAGAGGGAAAGCUUUCAGCCUUUCACUGUUUUUUUUAAAAAUUUUUUUUAACGUUUAUUCAUUUUUGAGAGACAGAGACAGAGUGCGAGUAGGGGAGGGGCAGAGAGAGAGAGAGAGAGAGAGAGACAGAAUCUGAAGCAGGCUCCAGGCUCUGAGCUGUCAGCACAGGGCCCAACGCAGGGCUCGAACCCACGAACUGUGAGAUCAUGACCUGAGCCAAAGUCGGACGCUUAACCGAUUGAGCCACCCAGGCGCCCCAGCUUUUCACUGUUGAGUGUGAUAUUAGCUGUGGGCUUGUAUAUAUGGCCUUUAUUAUGUUGAGGUACAUUCCUUCUAUAUUCACUUUAUUGAGAAUUUUUAUCAUGAAUGAAUGUUGAAUUUUGUCAAAUGAUUUUUCUGUAGAUGAUGAUCUGCAUAAUCUGCAUCAUUUUUAAGAUGACCUUAUGAUUUUUAUAUUCUAUUCUAUUGUGGUAUAUCACGAUUAUGUAUUUAUAGGAUAAAUAAGCCAUCCUUGCAUCCCAGGGAUAAAUCCCACCUGACAUGAUGCAUAAUCCUUAUAAUGUGCUGUUGAAUUCAGUUUGCUAGUAUUUUGUUGAGAAUUUUGCAUCUGUAUUCAUUGGGGAUUUGGGCCUGUAGUUCUCUUGUCAUGUCCUUGUCUGGUCUUGGUAUCAAGGUAAUGCUGGCCUUCUCAAAUGAAUUUGGAAGUGUUCCCACCUCAUCAAAUUUUUGGAAGAGUUUAAUAGGGAUUGAUGUUAAUUCUUCUUUUUUUUUUUUUCAACGUUUAUUUAUUUUUGGGACAGAGAGAGACAGAGCAUGAACGGGGGAGGGGCAGAGAGAGAGGGAGACACAGCAUCGGAAACAGGCUCCAGGCUCUGAGCCAUCAGCCCAGAGCCUGACGCGGGGCUCAAACUCACGGACCGCGAGAUCGUGACCUGGCUGAAGUCGGACGCUUAACCGACUGCGCCACCCAGGCGCCCCUGUUAAUUCUUCUUUAAAUGUUUGGUAGAAUUUAUCCAUGAAGGUAUCUGGUCAUGGGCUUUUCUUUGAUGGGAGGUUUCUGAUUACUAUUUCAAUCUCCUUGCUCAGGAUUGGUGUAUUCAGAUGUUCUGUUUCUUCUGAUUCAGUCUUGGUGGGUUGUAUGUUUCUAGGAAUUUAUUCAUUUCUUUGAGGUUGUCCAGUUUGUUGGCAUAAUUGUUCCUAAUUGUCUCUUAUGAUCCUUUAUCUUUCUGUAUAUCAGUUGUAAUGUCCCUUCUUUCAUUUAUAGUAUUAUUUAUUUGAGUCUUCUCUUUUUCCUUGGUAAGUCUAGCUGAAGGUUUAUGGAUUUUAUUUAUCAUUUCAUAACACCAGCUCCUAAUUUUGGUGAUCUUUUUUAUUUUUCUAUUUUUUAUUUCUGGCUCAGAUAUUUGCUAUUUCCUUCUUUCUGUUAAUUUUGAACUGUGGGAUUAGUUUGUUCUAUUUCUGGUUCCUUGGGGUGUAAAGUUAGGUUGUUUAUUUGAGAUCUCUUUUUUUUCUUAAUUUAGGCAUUUAUCAGUAAGCUUUCCUCUUAGAACUGUUUUUGCUACAUCCCAGUAAGUUUUGUUGCUUCUAUUUUUGUUUGUUUGAAGAUAUUUUUUUAUUUCCCUUUUGAUUUCUUCUUUGACCCAUUGGUUAUUUAGAAGCGUGUUGUUUAAUUUCCACAUUUGUGAAUUUCCUAGUUUAACUUUAAAAAAAAAUUGAUUUCUAGUUUCAUACCGCUGAAGUUGGAAAAGUUACUUGGUAGAUUUUCAAUAUUUUUUAAAUUGCUAAGACUUGUUUUGUGGUCUAGUGUAUGAUCUACCCUGGAGAAUGUACCAUGUGCACUUGAGAAGAAUCUGUAUUCUGCUGCUCUUGGAUAGGAUGUUUUAUAUAUUUCUGUUAGAAACAUUUGUUUUGAAAUAUAGUUCAAGUCCAGUGUUUCCUUAUUAAUUUUCUGUCUGGAUGUUCUGUGCAUUGUUGAAAAUGGGGUAUUGAGUUCCCUACCUUUGCUGUAUUUCUGUUUUUCCCUUUGUAUCUAUUGAUAUAUGAUUAAUAUACUUACGUAUAUAACUUUAUAUAUCACUAUAUACAUAUAUAUAUAACUGUGUAUGUGUGUGUAUAUAUAAUAUAUAUGUGUGUGUAUAUGUGUGUGUGUGUAUAUAUAUAUAUAUAUAUAUAUAUAUAUAUAUAUAAUUUAUUAUGUUCCUUUGGUGGUAGCAUGUUUCCCUGAUUCUUCACCAUCCCUCUAGCCUUAUACAGAUAUCUGCACAUUGGAAGGCACAGUCACCUCUUCCAGACUUUAUGGACUGUCUUUGGUUAGGAAAGACCUCUACCCCUGUGGGUGGGGACAAGCUGGAGCAUGUUGGAACCUGGCUCUAGCAGCACAGAGCACCACAUGUAGGGCCUUGUCCAGGUCCAGCGGUUGUGAGGUCUCAUCUUCUCAGCCUGCUGGGGUCCAUGACGAUAACUACAUGAUUCUCGACAAGGACUGCAGAGGGAUGGCAUGGCUACAAGGCCUGUUGGAGUCCUCGGCGGUGCCUUCAGGUCCAGUGGCCAGGGACCAGGGUGGGCCUCGGUGGCGACCAGAGCUGGUGAUGCACAGGUACUCAGUUGUGGGGACCAGCUACAAACGCCCUGUAGUGGCAGUGGUUGGAUCAGACGUGGUGGUGGUGGCCAGGGCCAGCAGCAAGGUACCAUGGCCAAGUGCGAGUACACUCGCAGCUGCAGGGGCUGUGGCUGUCAGCAUGCACUCCGUAGCUGCAGCGUCUCCCUGUGGGCACAGCAGAGCAGUAUAUAAGCCAGUGACGGGAGUUAGCCUGGAGGCACACACACGCGUCGUUAGAGGGGCUAGCUGCGGGGAGCCCCCUGGUGCAGGCCAGUGCCGGGCGACGGGGCUGGACCCAGGCCCAUCAGCAGCCGUCAGGGCCCUGGCUGUUGGUGUUCACUCUAGUGACCGUAAGAUCUCUCCGUGGGUGCCAGCAUGUGCUGGUAGAGGCUGGCGGUGGAAAUCAGGCCGGCAGCACGUAGGUGCACAGCUGGAGGGGCUAGCUAGCUCCAAAUGUGCACACAGCGGCGAGGGGUCAGCCUCCAGCACCUAGGCUGUGUCGUGUACUCGCACAGCCACAGAGGCCAGGGCUGGCUGCCAGCAUGGAUAGCGGUUCCGGAAGGGAGUGGGACUGGGGACAGAGUUACGGGGGCAUCAGGUAGCUGGCAUCCGUGAUUAGGAAAACCUUCCCGGGAAACCCUCAGUGGUGAAAUCUGUAGGGGUCCGCGGUGGCUGUGUCGGUCAUUGGUUUCUUCAGUGGCAAAAGCUACUGCUGUCCUCUGCAGAGCAGGUCACUGGGAACCACAGUCACUCCUGCUGUGUGGCUACUGCAGGCAGCUCUGCUCUUUUUUGUUCCUAGCUACCUCCAUUGUGUCUCGGCCUUUUCAGUCUCUGGGUGGGAUGAGACCAAAGUGGGUUCUUUGUGCAGUGCCCCAAAAGACUGGGGGAGCUGGUCGCUCUCCCUGCUCUCCCUUUGCCUUCGAGGGAACACUCAGUGCUGUGCAGUAUUGGCCUGGGGGAUGGGAUGAUGCAGGCAAAGCAGUCCUAUUCUUUCUUUUUUGUGUGGUUGUUCUCAGGUUUUGUUCCACUGUGUUGCUUGCUGAAGUUCAAGUGGACCCUGAACUUGAUCAGAGCCAUUUUUGUUUGUGGAUAGCCAGCUGUUGAUCUUUAUGGGUGGAUGGAGGGUGGGGUCUCCUACUCUGCCGUGGUGGUGAUGACACCCAGCUUAGUUUUUUAUUUUCUUUUUAAAACAAGCUCUGGCUAGUUUUACUAAAGAAAAAUUUUGCACGAUUUACUUUUCACCAGUCUGUUCUGGCAUGUUUCCAAUGCUAUCAGAAUCACCUGGAUCAAUGGUAGCCAGUGUGCAUAUUGACAGUCUUUCCCACAUGCUGUGCCCAGUCCAGUAUGAUUGCCACUGUAGUGAUGGACACCAGUUUUGGCCAACAUGGCAGAGUGUUCUAUUUCAGAUCUCCUCAAAGCUGGGCAGUUGCUGGCGAGGAUGACCAGAGUUUCGCUUUGCCAUGUCUGAUCAUUUUCAGACUCUGCUUGUACCCCAGCACGUACUUUCCACUUUUCAUAACGAUCUGGAGCCUAGAAUUUAUGGACUCCAGUGACAUUUUUGUCUUCUUUGUGGCCGCCAUAUUCCUGCCUUAGGUGUGGGGUGGCCCCAAUCUAGAACAUACAGAGGGCAGGAUAGGAAGUUUAGGAUUGGAGCUCCAAGUGGCAACUUUCUGGGCUCCCCAUGCUGCCUAAACCGCAGCCCCACAGACUCAAGCCCAGCUUAAUUAUUCUUAACAGUAACUUGGCACCUCUUCUAAAAAUGAGUCAUUUGUUUUCUAGCAUGCUUUUAAAAGCAUCUCAUUAUAGAAUUAACACAGUCUAAUUAGAAAAAAAAUGGAAUGUAUAGAAAAGCAAAAGGAAGAAAAUGAAGCUGUCUGCAAUCUAACAUUUGGGAAUAGCUACUGUUAAACAUGUGGUACAUUUUUCUUUUAUUCUUUGUAAGUGCUCCUGAUAAAAUAUAAAUUUUAUGUAGCUCAUACAGAUCUUGUUUCCCAGAUGAAACAUAAUGUGGAUUUUUAAAAGGGGCAAAAUAUCCUUCACAAACUCUAUUAAAAACAUUUUUUAAUGUUUAUCUAUUUUUGGGAAAGAGAUGGAGACAGAGCAUGAGCAGGGGAAGGGCAGAGAGAGGAGGAGACACAGAAUCCAAAGGAGACUCCAGGCUGUGAGCUGUCAGCACAGAGCCCAGCACAGGGCUUGAACCCACAAACUGUGAGAUCAUAAUCUGAGCUGAAGUCAGACGCUCAACUGAGCUACCCAGGCGCCUGCACAAACUCCAUUUUAAUGACUGUGUGGUUAUUUAUUUACACAACCAUUAAAUACUUCUUACACAUCUUAUGUCAGUUUCUAAUUGCUCGCAAGUUUAGGUACAAACUUAGCAUGGCUUCCAGGACUAUUCUUAAACUUUGCCUUGCCUCACACCAUGCUUUUUUUUUUUUUAAUUUUUAUUUAAUUUUUUUUUUAAUUUAAAUCCAAGUUAGCAUAUAGUGCAACAGUGAUUUCAGGAGUAGAUUCCUUAAUGCCCCUUACCAUUUAGCACAUCCCCACUCCCACAGCCCCUCCAGCAACCUUCUGUUUGUUCUCUGUAUUUGAGUCUCUAUGUUUUUGUCCCCCUCCUUGUUUUUAUAUUAUUUUUCCUUCCCUUCCCUUCCCUUAUGUUCAUUCUUUUGUAUCUUAAAGUCCUCAUAUGAGUGAAAUCAUAUGAUAUUUGUCUUUCUUUGACUAAUUUCACUUAGCAUAAUACCCUCUAGUUCUAUCCACAUAGUUGCGAAUGGCAAGAUUUCAUUCUUUUUGAUUGCCAAGUAAUACUCCAUUGUGUGUGUGUGUGUGCGCACACACACACACACACACACACACACACCACAUCUUCUUUAUCCAUUCAUCCAUUCAUCCAUUGGUGGACAUUUGGGCUCUUUCCAUACUUUGGCUGUUGUUGAUAGUGCUGCUAUAAACAUUGGGGUCCAUGUGUCCCUUCGAAACAGCACACCUGUAUCCCUUGGAUAAAUACCUAGUAGUGCAAUUGCUGGGUCGUAGGGUAGUUCUAUUUUUAAUUUUUUGAGGCACCUCCAUUCUGUUUUCCAGAGUGGCUGCACCAGUCUGCAUUCCCACCAGUAGUGCAAAAGAGAUCCUCUUUCUCCACAUCCUGGCCAAUGACUUUUGUUGCCUGAGUUGUUAAUGUUAGCCAUUCUGACAGGUGUGAGGUGGUAUCUCAUUGUGGUUUUGAUUUGUAUUUCCCUGAUGAUGAGUGAUGUGGAGCAUUUUUUCAUGUGUCAGUUGGCCAUCUGGAUGUUGUCUUUGGAGAAGUGUCUAUUCAUGUCUUUUGCCCAUUUCUUCACUGGAUUAUUUGUUUUUUGGGUGUUGAGUUUGAUAAGUUCUUUAUAGAUUUUGGGUACUAACCCUUUAUCUGAUAUGUCAUUUGCAAAUAUCUUCUCCCAUUCCAUCGGUUGCCUUUUUGUUUUGCCGAUUGUUCCCUUUGCUGUGCAGAAGCUUUUUAUUUUGAUGAGGUCCCGAUAGUUAAUUUUUGGUUUUGUUUCCCUUGCCUCUGGAGAUGUGUUGAGUAAGAAGUUGCUGUGGCCGUGGUCAAAGAGGCUUUUGCCUGCUUUCUCCUCGAGGAUUUUGAUGGCUUCCUGUCUUGCAUCCAUUUUGAGUUUGUUUUUGUGUAUGGUGUAAGAAGAAUGGUCCAGGUUCAUUUUUCUGUAUGUCACUGUCCAGUUUUCCCAGCACCACUUGCUGAAAAGACUGUCUUUAUUCCAUUGGAUAUUCUUUCCUGCUCUUCAAAGAUUGUUGGCCAUAUGUUUGUGGGUCCAUUUCUGGGUUCUCUAUUCUGUUCCAUUGAUCUGAGUGUCUGUUCUUGUGCCAGUACCAUACUGUCUUGAUGAUUACAGCUUUGUAAUACAGCUUGAAGUCCGACCCCAUGCUUUUCUCCUUCACAUUUUAGACUUCAGCUAUACGUACUUUCCAUGCAUCAUAUUCUCUCAUCUCCUGGGCUCUGCCCCUGCUCAUCAUUCUAACACAUUUUUAUUCUUUUUCUUCUCCAUUCCCUCUCUCCGCUUCUCCUACUCUUUUUUUCUAAUUAACACCUAUUAAUCUUUGAUGAAGGGAGGGUGUGUAGAUAGAAAAAUAGAGGGAGGCCUAGGAUGAAGUCCUGGAUACCUCAUUUAUAAAAGCAGAAAACCAGGAGAAGGAUGUUUAAAAAAAAAAAAAAAAAGAGAACUGGCCAAAGAGGAAACCCAGGAGAAUAUAGCAUCACAGAAAGUAAGCAAGGAAAUGUCAAAAUUUAGAGACCAACAGAACAGAGUCCAUAAAUAGACCCAUGCGUAUACUGUCAGUUGAUUUUGACAAAAGAAAUAAGGUAACUGAAGGAAAAAAAAAACCUCUUUUCAACAAAGGGGGCUGGAACAACCACAUAUCCAUUAGAAAGGAAGAACUUUAACUUUGACCUCACACCACAUAUAAAUAUUAAAAUAAAUCGUGGACCAAAAUGUAAGCAUUAAACUACAAAACUUCUAGAUGAAAACAUGGAAUAUAAUCUUCUGAGAUUUUGGAGUGGGCAAAUAAUUCUUAGGACACAAAAGCAUGAAUCAUAAGAAAACAUUUCAUAAAAUGAGCUUCAUUAAAAUUAAAACUUCUUGAACUCCAUUAAGAAAAUGAAAAGACUGGGGCGCCUGGGUGGCGCAGUCGGUUAAGCGUCCGACUUCAGCCAGGUCACGAUCUCGCGGUCUGUGAGUUCGAGCCCCGCGUCAGGCUCUGGGCUGAUGGCUUGGAUUGGAGCCUGGAGCCUGUUUCCGAUUCUGUGUCUCCCUUUCUCUCUGCCCCUCACCCGUUCAUGCUCUGUCUCUCUCUGUCCCAAAAAUAAAUAAAAAACGUUGAAAAAAAAUUAAAAAAAAAAAAAAAAGAAAAUGAAAACACAAGCCCACAUAAAGUGGGGAAAAAAAACAUAUGAUACAUAUAUGCAACCCAGGAUUUAUCUGGAAUGUAGAGAACGCUUGCAUCUCAAUAAGACAACCAGCCCAUAAAAAAUAAGCAAAAGAUUUGAACACUUUAUUAAAAAUAUAUGCAAUUUGUUAAUGAGAACACAAGAUAUUCAGUAUCAUUAGUCAUCAGGGAAAUGCAAGCUAUAACCACAAGAUGUCAGAAAACAUCUAUUAGACUAAAAUUAAAAAGACUGACAAUGACAAGCAUGGGUGAGGUGUGGACUAACAAGAACUCUCAUCAUUGCUACUAAGAAUGUAAAAUGGUACAUCCACUUUGGAAACAGGUUGAUAUUUCUUAUAAAUUUAAACAUAUACUUAACUUUAUGAUCCAGCAGUUCCAUUCUAAGCAUUGAUCUAAGUGAAACGAAAAUAUAUGUCCACACCAAGAUGAAUGUUUAUAGCAGCUUUAUUUGUAAAAGCUCCAGACCAGAAACAUCCCAAAUGUCUAUCAACAGGUAGAUGGAUAAACAAAUUGUAGCUCGUCUAUACAAUUUCCAUACUACUCACUAAUAAAAAGGAAUGAAUCACUGAUAGUUGCAAUAACAGAUAAAUCUCAAAAACUGCCGAGCAAAAUAAGUCAAAAGAAGAAUACAUCAUAUAUGAUUCCAUUAAUAUGAAACUCUAAGAAAAAUCUAAAUAUAUAGUAACAGCAUGUCCGUUGUUGUCUAGGGUCAGGAUGAUUGUGGGGUUAGAUUGGAAGGGGAAUAAAGGUAUCUUUUGGGGUGAUGGAGAGGUUCUAGAUGUUGUGGUAGUGAUGGGUACAGAGAUGUAUAUCAGAUUAUACACUUAAUAUGUGUACAUUUUAUUGGAAAUUAUACAUCAGUAAACUUGAUUUUCAAAAAUUGUUUCAAUUGCUACUGAGACUUUAGGUAAGUCAAGAACAGAGAAGGGACUUUGGAAAUGGCAAUAUUAGAAGUCUUGGGUGACUGCAUUAAGAAUGCUUUCAAUUAUGGAGGGGUGACGACCAAAACCUGAUUGAAAUGGAUUUAGUUAACAUACAGUGUUAUAUUAGUUUCAGGUGUACAAUAUAGUCAUUCAACAACUGUACAUUUCUCAGUGCUCCUCAUGAUAAAUGUACUAUUUAAUCCCAUCACCUAGUUCACCCAUCCCCCCCCACCCNCCCGGUAACCAUCAGUUCUCUAUAGUUAAGUCUGUUUCUUGGUUUGUCUCUUCUUUCUCCUUAGCUUUUGUUUCUUACAUUCCACAUAUGCAUGAAAUCCUAUGGUAUUUGUCUUUCCUGAUUGACUUAUUUCACUUAACAUUAUACUCUCCAGCUCCAUGUUGUUUCAAAUAGCAAAACUUCAUUCUUUUUUAUGACUGAGUAAUAUUCCAUUGUAUAUAUGUACCACAUCUUCUUUAUCCAUUCAUCUGUCAAUGGACACUUGGACUGCUGCCAUAAUUCAGUUAUUCUAAAUAAUGCUACCAUAAACAUAGGGAUGCACGUAUCCCUUUGAAAUAGUUUUUUGGUAUUCUUUGGGUAAAUAUGCAGUAGUGCAAUUACUAGAUUGUAGGGUAGUUCUGUUUUUAACUUUUUGAGGAAACUCCAUACGGUUUUCUAGAGUGGCUGCACCAGUUUGAAUUACAACCAACAAUGCACAAGAGUUCCUUUUUCUCCACAUCCUUACCAGCACUUAUUUCUUGUGUUUAUAUUGCCAUUCUGACAGGUGUGAGGUGAUAUCUCCUUGUACUUUCUUUUUUUAAUGUUUAUUUUGAGAGAGAGUGCACGCAAGUGGGGAGGGGCUGAGGUUAGUACAGAGGAUCCAAAGCAGGCUCUGUGCUGACAGCAGUGAGCCCAAUGUGGGGCUCAAACUCACCAACUGCAAGACCAUGACCUGAGCUGAAGUUGUAUGCUCAACCAAUUGAGCCACCCAGGUGCCCUGAUCUCAUUGUACUUUUGAUUUUAAAUUCCCUGAUGGUUGAGCAUCUUUUAAUGUGUCUGUUGGCCAUCUGUAGGUCUUCUUUGGAGAAAUGUCUGUUCAUGUCUUCUGACCAUUUUUAAUUGGAUUAUUUGUUUUUUGAGUGUUGCAUAAAUUCCCUAUAUAUUUUGGAUACUAAGCCUUUGUCAGACAUGUCAUUUGCAAAUAUCUUCUCCCUUUCAUUAGGUUGCCUUUCAGUUUUGUUUCCUUUGCUGUGCAGAAGCUUUUUACUUUGAUGUAAUCCCAGUAGUUUGUUUUUGCUUUUAUUUUUCUUGCCUCAGAGACAUAUAUAGAAAAAUGUUGCUAAAGCUGAUGGCAGAGAAAUUACUGCUUAUGUUCUUUUCCAGGAUUUUUGUAGUUUCAGGUUUCACAUUAAUCCAUUUUGAGUUUAUUUUUGGGUUUGGUGUAAGAAAGUGGUCCAGUUUCAUUCCUUUGCAUGUCGCUGUCCAGUUUUCCCAACACCAUUUGCUGAAGAGACUUUUUCACAUUGCAUAUUCUUGCCUCCUUUGUUGUAGAUUAAUUGACCACAUAAUUGUGGGUUUAUUUCUGGUCUUUCUGUUCUGUACUAUUGAUCUAGGUGUCUGUUUUUAUUCCAGUACCAUACUGUUUUGAUUACAACAGCUUUGUAAUGUAAUUUGAAGUCUGGGAUUGUGAUACCUCCAAUUUGGUUUUAAUUUUUCAAGAUUGCUUUGACUAUUCAAGGUCUUUUGUGGUUCCAUACAAAUUUUAGGAUUAUUUGUUCCAGUUCUGUGAAAAAUGCUGUUGGUAUUUUGAUAGAGAUUGCAUUAAUCCUGUAGAUUACUUUGGGUAGUAUGGACAUUUUAACAGUGUUUUUUCUCUCAACCAUGAGCAUGGAAUAUCUUUCCAUUUGUUUGUGUUGUCUCAAUUUCUUUCAUCUUUAUAGUUGUCAGAGUACAGGUCUUUCACCUCUUAAGCUUAGUCCUAAGUAUUUUACUGCUUUUGGAACAAUUGCAAAUGGGAUUGUUUUCUUAAUUUCACUUUCCCCUGCUUCAUUAUUAGUUACAGGAAUGCAGUAGAUUUCUAUACAUUGAUUUUGUAUCUUGCAACUUUACUAGAACUGACAAGUAAAUUCAGUAGUUUUUUGGUGGAGUCUUUAGGGUUUUUUAUAUGUGGUAUCAUGUGAAAGUUUUACUUCUUCCUUAUCAACUUGGAUGCCUUUUAUCUCUUUUUGUUGCCUUAUUGCAGUGGCUAGCACUUCCAGUGCUAUGUUGAAUAAAAGUAGGGAGAGUGCACAUCCCUGUCUUGCUCCUAACCUUAGAGGAAAAGCUCUCAGUUUUUCCCCAUGGUUAGAUGUGAGUUUUUCAUUUAAGGCCUUUAUUAUGUUGAGGUAUGUUCCCUCUAGACCUACUUUGUUGAGGGUUUUUAUCACGAAUGGAUGUUGUAUUUUGUCAAAUCCUUUUUCUACAACUACCAAAAGGAUCAUAUGGUUUUUAUCCUUUCUCUUAUUGAUGUGAUGUAUGACGUUGAUGGAUUUGUGACUGUUGAACCACCCUUGCAUGCUGGAAAUAAAUCCCACUUGAUUGUGGUGAGUGACUUUUUUAAAUGUAUUGUCGGAUUCAGUUUUUUAGUAUUUUGUUGAGGGUUUUCGCAUCUGUGUUCAUCAGAGAUAUUGGCUUAUAGUUGUCUUUGUGGGUGUGAGUGUGGUGUCUUUAUCUGGUUUUGGUAGCAGGGUAUUGGCCUCAUAGAAUGUAUUUGGAAGUGUUUUUUUCCUCUUUUACUUUUUGGAAUAGUUUGAGAAGAAUAGAUGUUGAUUCUUCUUUAAAUAUUUGGUAGAAUUUGCCUAUGAAGCCACCUGGUCCUGGACUUUUGUUUGUUGGGAGUUUUUUGAUUACUGAUUCAAUUUUAUUGCUUGUAAUUGGUCUGUUCAAAUUUUCUAUUUCUUCCUGUUUUAGUAGGCUGUGUUCUAGGAGUUUACCCAUUUCUUCUAGGUUGUCCACUUUGUUGGCAUAUAGUUUUUUAUAAGAUUCUCUUACAAUUGUUUGUAUUUCUUUAUUAAUUAUUACUUCUUUCUCAUUUGUGAUAUUAUUUGGGUCUUUUUUAUUUUGAUGCAUCUGGCUAGAGAUUUAUCCAUUUUGUUGAUCUUUUCAAAGAACCAGCUCCUGGUUUCAUGGAUCUGUUGUUUUUUUAUUUUCUAUAUCCUUUAUUUCAGCUCUAAUCUUUUAUUAUUUCCUUCCCUCUACUGGUUUUGGGCUUUGUUAUUUUUCUACCUCCUUUUGGUGUAAGGUUAGGUUAUUGGAGAUUUUUCUUCUUGAGGUAGGCCUAUGUUACUAUAAAAUUCCUAUAGAACAGCUUUUUCUGCAUCCCAGAGAUUUUGGACUAUUGUCUUUUCAUUUGUCUCUCUAUAUUUUUUGAUUCCACUAUGAUUUCUCAGUUGGCCCAUUCAUUGUUUAGUAGCAUAUUAUUUAACAUACAUGUAUUUGUGCUCUUUGCAGAUUUUUUCUUGUGGUUGAUUUCUAGUUUUAUACCAUUGUGAUCAGAAAAGAUGCAUGGUAUGACUUCAGUCUUUUCAAAUUUGUGGAGACUUGUUUUGUGGUCUGACCUGUGAGCUCUUCUGGAGAGUGUGGGUUGGGCUUUUUUUUUUUUUUAAUGUUUAUUUUUGAGAGAGCGAGUGCACAGGAGGGGCAGAGAGAGGAGGAGACAGAAUCCCAAGCAGGCCCCACGCUGCCAGUGCAGAGCCCGGUGCAGGGCUCAAACCCACAAAGUCAUGAGCUCAUGACCUGAGCUGAAACCAAGAGUAGGAUGCUUACCUGACUGAGCCACACAGGUGCCCCUAAAUUUUUAUAAUGUCUAUUUUUGAGAGGGAGAGAGAGUGUGCGUGCGUGUUGGGCAAGGGCAGAGAGAGAGGGAGACAGAGGAUCUGAAGUGGACUCUGUGCUAAUAGCAGAGAGCCCAACGUGGGGGCAAUGAGAUCAUGGCCUGAGCCAAAGUGGGACCCUUAACCAACUGAGCCACCCAGGUGCCCCCACCCCUUCACUCUCAACCUGCCUGUGUCUUUAGGUCUGAAAUUAUAGAUGGGUCUUGCUUGUUUAUCCAUUCCAUCAUCGUAUGUCUUGAUUAGAGCAUUUAGUCCAUUUACAGAAAAAUGGGCAUUUUAAAUAACAUAAUGUUGCUAUUCUGGAAAGCAGAUUCUCUUCACUCUCAGGAUGUGUUGUUGCUCUUUGUCUAGGGUUUUUCUGAACUAAAUGUGUAGUCUGUAGUGUCUUGUGUGGCUGAAGUCUCUGCUUGAUUAGCUUAGUGGUGAGCCAAUGAUUGGACACAGAUUUUCUUAGAUGUCUAGAAUCAUUAAGUCUUCCAGUCUUUGCAAAAGGGCCAUGUGUGUGUAUUGGCCAUGCCUUCAACAUUCAGCCAGGCAUUUACAACUCUGUUUUGCCUUUAACCUUGAGGCUCUACUCAAGCAGAAUGUAGCCAGAAGUGGGGAGUUAGGACCUUUUUAGCUCUUUCCUGAGCACGUGCAUGGCACUGGCCUUGCUUAUGCAUCUGCAUGGACUUCUACAUUCCCAGGAAUAAGUCAAAGCAUGUCAAAGCUCCAUAGAGAUAUCGUAUUCCUCAGUUUUUUCUUUUAACCCAGAGCUUUUUGGUUAUCCUAUUGUGUUUUGUUUUGUUGUUGUUGUUGUUGUUGUUGUUGUUGUUGUUUUAACAACCGGCUCCUUUCUGCUACUUCCAGUGGUUGCCAGGCUACUUGAUUUUAGCUAUGAUUGUGGGCUGUUGGUUUUCAUGGCCAGCAUAGGUGUUGGAUGGGAAUAGGGAUGUCAAAAGUCUCAUUGUUCUUGCCAUUUCCUCUUGAAAAUGUUUCCGAAUUGCUUAAAUCUUUGUUUUUCAGAGUUGAUGACAAGUUUUGCCAGUGUCCUCAUUGCUUUUAUAGAGAGUUUUCAGAGGUCCUUACUCUGUCAUUUUCACUGAUAUCACCCAUAUCUUCUUAAACUUAGAUUUUUAAACUGAAAAUAUAUUGUCAAGUGCAUUUUAAGAGGCCUAUUUAUAAACAACAUUGAUGUAGAUCUUCUAAUAGCCAAAUAUUUUAUUGUGUAAUGAGAUGUUGAGGAAAAAAAGGCAAUGAGGGAAUGAUGAAUUUAAUUUAUAUCCUAAUUCUAUAAGUGCUCUGACUAGGAGGUGUGUGUAAAUAUCAGCUUGGAAGAGGCUAAUGUAUUAAAUAAAGUAGAAAUAAAUAGCCAUAUUCUUCACGAUUCAUUAAGAAAAAAUUGGGAAUGUUAUUAGGAAUUAAGGUGGCCUCUGGCUAUGUUAAACAUGGAAGAAAUUCAACCUCCCUAGCUUCCUUUUAUUUUCCAACAAAUCACUUCAUAAGUCAGAACAAAAGCUCUCAUACCUUGUCUCUUUAACAUUAAAUUCCCAAAAGCUUAGUCUUAAAAAAAUGUGUACUGGGUCAUACCAUCAUCUGGCUAGUAGACAAUGAAACGCAGAACUGCAAUGUCUACCCUCUAAAGCAACAAUCAGUUCUGAGCCUUUGGCUGCCAUGACAUGCUUGAUAAAUGAUUCUCUCAGGUGGGAAACACUCUGAAGGGCACAUUCAUAUUUUGACAAACGUCUCCCAAAUUUGGAAGUCAUGCACUGUGAUGAUUUGUAAUCAUCAGAACAGUUUAACUGCCCAUCUGUAACGGUGGCUCUUUGUGAUAUAUUGCAGAGAUGAACUUGGGCUGUAGGGCAGGACAGUUCUCAGCAUUCUGGCUAUAAUGCCAUUCUGUUAUGUCCCAGAAUUCAUAGCUAUGUACAUAUUUAUAAUUUCAGCACAUUGGGCUCAGAAGACUUCAAGAAGAAGACAUCUACUGAAAAACUCUCACCUAGAAGAUAAUCUGGAAAUAUUUGGUAGGUUUUAGCUUAUUUUGAUAUAUGAAAGCCACAGCAAAUAUAGUUUUGUUAUUGAGACUAAAAUUUGGUUUUGUAUUUACUAUUCAAGAACUAAGACAAGUUUCUGGUGAAGCAUGACCGUUUGUAUAAGCAGAUGUGGAAGGGGGAAUUCUUGUUUUCCAUGCUUGAGCAGCAAGAACAGUAAUAGAAGUUCCUGUCGAUGGUUUUCAUUUCUGUUCCUUUUAAAGCGUAAUUAGAAUGACUGGUCUAUCAUGUAGGUUACAGUAUUUGCUAGUAAACAACUUAUUCAUAUGUUCCUUCUGAAAUGAUAAGAGUGAUGAAAAUGCAUGAGACUUUUCUGGAAUGAAUCAUUCAAGCAUCAUUUUUGAUGAUGAGAACUGAAUUAGAAAAGUGAAUACUUAUACAAGUUAAAUACAUUUAAAUGAAAGGACAUAUUUCCCUAUUGGGGGAUGAUGUCCUACUAUUAUCAUCCAUGGAUGAGAAUUACUGCUGCAAAUGAGUGGUCCCCAGAUUCACUGGGGGUGGGCAGAAAAUGUUAAACUUGUAUUUAUGUUAAUAUUUUUAGCUAACAAGGGAAACAAGUUAGACUUUACUAAUAAGGAAAAUUAGGUAACAGUGAUACUCCUACUUGAUUUGUAAGUCAAACACUUACCUGUGAUCUAUUGAAGCUGAGUAUUUUGAGGAAAGAAAAUUAUAUAUGCCAUAAUUGAUACGGAACAGCAAAUGCCAAAGGAUAGCCAAGACAUUCUGAUAGAAGCUAUCAGGGAACAAGAAGUCCUGUCCCCUUGACGGUCCUAGGUGGACUAAGAAUCAAACUGACAAAAAAAAAAAAAGAUUAACCAGAGAAAAUCUAAUUUAAUAGCAACACAUGGGGAACCUACCCAGACCUGGAAAUUCCAGAGACAGGCAAAAGGAGGUAUAUAGGUCAUCCUGAACUAAGGAGAAAAGGGUAGGGGUCUGGGAUUUCAGAGGAAAGGAUUGCACUUCACAAGAUAGAGCAGUUUGGUAAUUAGAUGUUUGCCCUGCCAUAUGGAUGGCUCACUCAGAUAAAAUUCAUCUCUGCUAAUCACCCUUGUUCUGGAGAAGACUGCCAAUUCAGACUCAUGUAGUCAAGGGAGGAGCGAAGAUUUCUCUUGAGCCCACAGGGUCUUGAUUGGCCUGAAAGGUUAUUCUGAGGGAAAGGCAAAGUGGUUCAUCUCCGGACAGCCCGCCUUGGGCCUGUUACCUCCUCUGAAACUUCCCUGAGGUUUCACACUUUAAAAUUUGAGCUGGUAGCAGAUACACCUAGCUAAAAGCCACGUCAGUGUAACCCACCCAGAAAAUCGUAAAGAGGCUACACUGAAAAUGGUAGAAAGGGCGGAGGUGCAGGAACCAAACCAGUCUGCGAGACUACCCACAAAUGGAAAGGACACCACGAGCAUGGAACAGCCCCCACACCAGGCGCCGCAGCCCCAGGGGUGCCUGCACUGGGAAGACAAGUCCUCCCUUGGCUUUGAAAACCAGAGGGACUUAACUUCAUGGAUGUUUAACAUAAGUGGGGCUUAAUAUCAGGAACUUUAAAAAAAUCAAUGGGCUCGACUCAGAGAGCUGGAGAGCAAUAGGAAACUGAGCCUCCACCCUUAGAGAGACUGCGUAAUAACCCUGCCCAAGUACUGCAUAGAAGCAGCAGUUUGAAAGGAGCCUGAGGCAUGUGAGAAGGAGGCAUAUUCACUAAUCUCAGAACUUGUGGUGGAAGUGGGGGGAUCUUUAGGAGACUUCUUCAAGAACAAAAGAGCUGACAGGGUCUUUUCUCUCCCCUGCCCCCCAGUCUAGAUACAUUGACACCUAUAGGAGCCAGCGUGGAAUGCUCAGCACCUACCUUGCUAACAACUUGCCUUGCCCCUGCAUUCUGCUGUACUGCCUCACUCCACAGGAGUUCCUCCAAAGUGGAUCCACAAGGGUCUCAUUGCACAAACAGCCUCAACAGGGGCCAAUACCACUCCAAAGUGACUCUUGCCCUGGGGGAAGGAGAAGAUGAACUGCUGUGUGUGGUCAAGGGCAGCCCCAGCAGGGUGCUGUGGGCACACAUCCAAUCUGACUGCCCCACCAACCAACAGAAACCUCAUAGGGGCAGCACAAAGAGAGUCCAGUAGUUCAGGGUCACUGCAGCCCCAGCAGAAGGCUGGAGUAGACGUCUCUCACUGCUGACCCUGCCCACCAACGAAAGCCUCUUGGGGACAACAUAGGGAGAGCCCUGGAGUUCAGUAUAACCACGGUUCCAGCAAAUGGGCUAAGGCAAGGAUCCAGCUGACCCAACUCAAGCCCAGACUGGCUCCUUAACAGCACAGGGACCAAACCCUGAUGACCAUGGGCAAAGAGGGCCAUUGCAGCCAACUGGACUGAAGGCACAUGUGGCUCAACCGCAACAGUGGGGCACAUGCAACACACGUAGGAGACACCUCUGAAGCACCAGGUUCUAGUGAAGAGAAAACCAAAAGCCCAGAGAGAAGAAUCUUGAAAUUAAAAAUACACUAGAGUAAAUAAAUAGUAGACUGGAGGAAGCAGAAGAACAGAGAAGCAAGCUCGAAGACAGUAAUGGACAGCAACCAACCUGAACAGGAAAAAGAAAAAAAAAAAUGAGACUAGGCCAAGAGAACUCAGCAACACCAUCAAGUGUAACAACAUCCACAUUUAGGGAUCCCAGAAGGAGAAGAGAGAAAAAAGGGGGCAAUAACUUUGAAUAAGUGUCUGAAAACUUCCCUAAUCUGGGGAAGGAAUUGGAAAUCUAGACUCAGGAGGCACAGAGAGCCACCAAAUACCAACCCAAGGAGAUCCUCCUCAAGACAAUUAAAAUGGCAAAAAAGUAGGGAUAAAUGGCAAAAAAGUAGGGAUAAUUUUAAAAGCAGCAAGAGAAAAAACAAUUACAUACAAGGGAAAUAUCGGGGUACCUGCGUGGCUCAGUUGGUGGAGCAUCCGACUCUUCGUCUCAGGGUUGUUAGUUCAAGCCCCUCAUUGAGCGUGGAGCCUACUGCACACACACAGGAAACUCCAUAAAGCUGUCAGAUUUUUCAGCAGAAACUUUGCAGGUCAGAAGGGAGUGGCAGGAUAUAUUCAAAGUGCUGAAAGAGAAAACCUGCAGCCAAGAAUACUCUAGCUAGCAAGACUAUCAUUCAGAAUAGAAGGAGAGAUAAAGAGUUUCUCAAGUAGAAGCUAAAAGGAGUUCUUGACUGCUAAAUCAGCCCUACAGGAAACACUAAAGGGAAUUCUUUGAGUGGAAAGGCAGGCCAUAAUCCUUUUCUUAGGAAAGGAAAAGAUUUCUCAGGUACAUGCAAACGUAAUAGAAGUAGAUCAGUCCCUUAUAAAACCAGUACAGGGGUUAAAGCACAAAAACAGUAAAAUCAGUUAGAUCUAUUUAAAAAGUCAAUAAAGGGAUUCACAAAGAAUGUAAAGUAUGAGCAUGCAGGGGAUAAGGGGAGUAAAAAUGCAGUGCUUUUAGAAUGGGUUCAAACUUAAACAGCCAUCAACCUAACAUGCAUAGGAUGUUAUAUACAAACCUAAUGGUAACCACAGUUCAAAAACCUAUAAUAGAUGUGCUUGGAUUCUUUUGGUUUUUUUUGCAGAUCAAAGGCAUCAAAGAAAGGCAUGAAACCACCGCCAGACAGCAAGAGGAGGAAAGAACAGAGAAGAACUGCAAAACAACCAUAGAACAAGUAACAAAAUGGCAAUAAGUACAUACCUAUCAAUGAUUACUUUGACUGUAAAUGGACUAAUUAAUCAAAAGACAUAGGGUGACUGAAUGGAUAAAAAAGGCCCAUCUAUAUGCUGUCUAUGAGACUCCUUUCAGAUCUAAACACACAGAUUGAAAGAGAUGGAAAAGAAUUUAUGAUGCAGAUGGAAGUGAAAAGAAAACUGGGGUAGCAAUACUUAGAUAAAAUAGACUUUAAAACAAAGACUGUAACAAGAGACAAAGAAGGACACUAUAUAAUAAGAGGAACAAUCCAACAAGAAAAUGUAACAAUUGUAAAUAUUUAUGCACCCAACAUGAGAGUACCCAAAUACAUAAGGCAACUAUUAACAAAAUAGUAAUACAAUAAUAUUAGGGGACUCUAACACCCUACUUACAUCAAUGGACAGAUCAUCCAGACAGGAAAAUCAACAAGGAAUCAGUAGCUCUUAAUGAUUGGACCAGGUGGAUCUAACAGAUAUAUUCAGAACAUUCCAUCCUAAAACAGUGGAAUACACAUUCUUUUCAAGUGCACAUGGGACAUUCUCCAGAAUAGAUCACAUGUUAGGCCAUAAGUCUCCCCAAAUUUAAGAAGACUAAAGUCAUACAGUGCGUCUUUUCCAGCCACAGUGGUAUCAAACCAGAAAUCAUCACAAGAGAAAACCUGGAAAGAACACAAAUAUAUGGAGGUUAAAUAACAUGUUACUAAGAAAUCAAAAAUGCAUGGAGACAAGUGAAAAUGAAAACACAACAGUCCAAAAUCUUUGGGAUGCAGCAGAAAGAGGGAAGAUUAUAGCAAUUCAGGCCUACCCUCAAGAGGCAAGAAAAAUCUCAAGCAACCUAACCUCAGACCUAAAAGGAGCUAGAAGAACAAAGUCUAAGGCCAGUGGAAAUAAGGAAAUAAAGAUUAGAGCAGAAAUGAAAUAGACUUAAACAAUAGAACAGAUCAACAAAACCAGGAGCUUUUUCUUUGAAAAGAUCAACAAAAUUGAUAAACCUUUAGACAGUUUCAUUAAAAAAAAAACCCAAAAAGGACUCAAAUUCAGAAAUGAAAGAACUAUCACCACCACAGAAAUACAAAGGAUUUUAGUUAUUAUGAAAAAGUGUAUGCCAAAUUGGACAACCUAGAAGAAAUGGAUAAAUUCCUAGAAACAUAGCCUCUCAAAACUAAAUCAGGCAUAGGAAAUUUACUAGUUACUGACAAUGAUUGAAUCAGUAAACAAAAAGCUCCCAAAAGUUUGGCACCGUAUAUCUUCUCAGGUGAAUUCUACCAAACAUUUAAAGAAGAGUUAAUAUCUAUUCUUCUUAAACUAUUCCAAAAAAUAGAAGAGGAAGGAUAACUUCUAAAUUCAUUCUAUAAGGCCAGCAUUAUUCUGAUACCAAAACCAGAUAAAGACACCACAAGAAAAGAACUAUAGGCCAAUAUCUCUGAUGAACAUAGAUACAAAAACUCUCAACCAACUAUUAGCAAACCAAAUCCCACAGCAAAAAAUUAAACCGCGAUCAAGUGGGAUUUAAAAAAUUCACCACGAUCAAGUGGGAUUUAUUCCAGAGAUGGAAUGUGGUCCAUUAUUCACAAAUCAAUGGGAUAUAUCACAUCAACAAGACAAAAGAUAAAAGCCAUGUGAUUGUUUCAAUAUAUGUAGAAGAAGCAUUUGACAAAGUACAACAUCCAUUAAAAAAUUCAAAGGUUUAGAGGGAAUAUACCUCAACAUAAUAAAGGCCAUUUGUGGAAAAACCCAAAACUAACAUCCUACUCACUGGUGUGAGUUUUCCCUCUAAGAAGGAUGUCCAUUCACCACUUUUAUUCAACAUAGUACUGGAAGUCCUAGCCACAGCAAUCAGACAAGAAAAUAAAAGGAAUCAAAAUCAGUAUAGAAGUAAAACUUUCACUAGUUGCAGAAGACAUUAUACUAUAUAUAGAAAAUUCUAAAGAAUUCACCAACAACCUGCUAGAACUGAUAAUUCGGUCAGGUCACAGGAUACAAAAAUCAAUAUACAGAAAUCUGUUGCAUUUCUGUACACUCAUUAAGCAGAAGAAAAAUUAAGAAAAUGGUCCUAUUUACUGUUGCACCAAAAGUAGAAUACAUAGUAAACUUAACCAAAGAGGUGAAAGACCUGUACUCUGAAAACUAUAAAAUAUUUAUGAAACAAAUUGAAGACAAUACAAACAAAAGGAAAUACGUUCAGUGCUCAUGAAUGAGAAUCUUGUUUAAAUGUCCAUGAUACCCAUAGCAAUGUACAGAUUUAAUACAAUCCCUAUCAAAAUACCAAAAGCAUUUUCCAUAGAACUAGAACAAAUAAUCCUAAAAUUUGUACAGAACCACAAAAGACCCUGAAUAGCCAAAGCAAUCUUGAAAAAGAGAAACAAAACUGGAGGUAUCACAAUUCCAAAUUUCAAGAUACACUACAAAGCUACAGUACUCGAAACAGUAUGGUACUUACACAAAAAUAGAUACAUAGAUCAAUGGAACAGAAUAGCCCCUAAAUCCACAAUUAUAUGGUCAAUUAAUCUACAACAAAGACAAGAAUAUAUAAUGGGAAAAGUCUCUUCAACAAAUGAUAUUGGGAAAACUGGACAGCUACAUAUGGAAGAAUGGAACUGGACCUCUUUAUUAUAACCAUACACAAAAACCCAAGAUGAAUUAAGGAUCUAAAUGUGAGACCUGAAACCAUAAAUAUCCUAGAAGAGAGCAUAGGCAGUAAUUUCUCUGCUGUAGUCUGUAACAGCAUUUUUCUAGAUAGGUCUCCUGAGGCAAGGGAAACCAAAGCAAAAAUAAAUUAUUGGGAUUACAUUAAAAAAAAAAAACCAAAAACUUCUGCACAGCAAAGGAAAUAAUCAACAAAACUAAAAGGCAACCCAUUGAAAGGCAGAAGAUACUUGCAAGUGACAUAUCCCUUAAAGAGUUGGUAUCCAAAAUAUAUAAAAGAGCUGAUACAACUCAACACCCAAAAAACAACUAAUCCAAUUCAAAAAUGUCAAAAAUGGGCAGAAGACAUGAAGAGACAUUUCUCCAAAGAAGACAUCCAGAUGCCCACAGAUAUAUGAAAAGAUGCUCAAAAUCAAUCAUCAGGGAAAUACAAAUCAAAACCACAAUGAGAUAUCACCUCCCGCCUGUAAAAAUGGCUAAAAUCAACAAUACAAGAAACACCAAGUGUUGGCAACGAUAUGGAGAAAAGAUAACCCUCUUGUACUAUUGGUGGGAAUACAACUGGUGCAGCCACUGUGGAUAACAGGAUGAAGAUUAUUCAAAACAAUUAAAAAUAGUAGCAGAAUUACUGGAUUAUAUGAUAAUUCUGAGUACCCACAGAAAACUAAAACACUAAAUUGAAAAGAUAUAUGCAUCCCUAUGUUUAAUGCAACAUUAUUUACAAGAGCCAAGAUAUAGAAGCAAUCCAAGGGUCCAUCCAUAGAUGAGUGGAUAAAGAAGAUGUGGUAUAUAUACAGUGGAAUAUUACUCUGCCAUAAAAAAGAAUGAGACCUUGCCAUUUGCAACAUGGAUGGAUCUAGAGGGUAUAAUUCUAAGUGAAGUCAGAGAAAGAUCCUAUGAUUUCACUGAUAUGUGGAAUUUCAGAAACAGAAGGGGGAAAAAAAAAAACCAAAAAGCAUACUCUUAACUGUGGAGAACAAAUGGAUGGUUACCAGAGGGGAGAUGAGGGAGUGAAAUAGGUGACGGGGAUUAAGAGUACACUUCUCAUGACGAGCACUGAGUAAUGUAUAGAAUUUUUGAAUCGUAUUGUACACACGAAAUAUUAUGUUAAUUACAUUUAGAUUAAAAAUAAAAAAUUAAAGAUACAA